CAGACAUUUGCACUUGAAAAUGAUUUGAAAAUGAUUAUAUGAUAAUUGACAAAUGGGAUAGUAUAAGCGAAAAUAUUGUAAGAUAAACCCCACUCACUCGACACAAAGAUGUGAAUACAUAGUUCUAAGUUUCAUGUGGUGUUUGUGAAUCACUCUAUCAAAUGAAUCCAACUUCAUGAUGGAUGAAAUAUCGUUCUACUCUAAAUAACUCAACAUCAUGGGAAUUUUAAAUAACACUUAACAUUGUGAGGUUAAGGAUAAGAAUAACGAGCCCAUCGAGGGAACAAAAUAUAGAGAAUUUAUUCAAUAACUAAAUUAUAUAAUACAGCUUUUCCAUAUUAUAGAGAAUUUAUCAAAUGAAUCCUACAUAGCUUUGCCAUAUUUGACAAUGCUACAGUCCCGAAUGUAAUUAGAAAGUACGGUGUUUUCAUGUUUGAUUUUUAAAGAAACAAAUUUUCACUCUUGUUUUUUGUCCAUUUUUGGAUUAUAUAGUUUGAGAAAUGGCUAUUUGUUGCGGAGCAUAUAUCGAUCAAGAAGAUGCGAAUUAAGUUUAGUGCUAAACAAAAAAUAUAAAAGAUAGGCCUUGUGGAGGAUCUGAGAAAGAGACAUCUCUGGGCCCCACAACAUAGCUCGAUUUAAGAUCUUGACACGCGUGCAAUCGUACACUAGCCAUCUGCUCGUUACUCUAUAAAAAAUAUCAUAACUUGUGUAACUUUCUCUAAAGUUUCCCAAAUAACUUUAGUUCACCGGGCUACCAGCGCAUUUCCUUCUGCAUUGCCGCGUCUUCACUUUUUUUUUUUUUAAGUAUGUUAUACAUAAAUAUUACUGAUAUUAUAUCAAACAUUACAAUUAAUAUUUAUAAUUAUAUUAUAUAACUGGGACCACUGUCAUAUAUUGACACAUUGAAGCACCUUGCCCAGGUAUAUUAAAUCCUCUUAAAUAUUCGAGGGGUGCCUACUCCACUCACAUUUCAUAAGAAAGAGACUGUCUCCACUCAAUUAUAUUGAUAAUUGAGAGAGUAUUAAAAUUAACCCCCAUAAAGCUCUUAUGGAGGCUCGAACCCUUGCACUCAAUAUUGUAAGUGCAAUGCUUCUCCCAUUGGACCAAAGGCCCAUUGGUCCAAUAGGGGUGGUCCCACCUUACUUACGCCAACUUUUGGAAAUUUUGAUUGGAAAUUACAUGGUAAGUGUAAGGAUAUGAAAUCUUAAUUUGACUUGAUUUAAAAGAUGUUUUGAUAUAUUGAUUUCUUUGUUUUUUUAUAACUAAAGUUUAGAAAAAGUAAAAUUUCAUUACUUUUAGUUAAAUGAUAAAAUAUCUGAAUAAAAAAUUAAUUUUCCUACCUAGCUAUUAGAUAUCAUAUUAAAAUUUUCCUAGUUUUCACAUUUUACUUAGUAUUAAAUACUUAUCAUAGAUUCAGUUUGAAUCUUAAACAAAUAUUUUUAUUAUUAGAUAACAAUUUUUUUAUGUAUAAUAUUAUGUUAAAUUGCAAAAAAUGAUGUUAUCAAAAUUAUUUUUUCAUAAAUUAUAUAUCAAAUUCUUAUGUUAUAAAUAUUUAUAACAUAUAAAAAUUAUUGUGCUGUAAACAUAUACAUAUUUAAACUUCAUGCAUAUAUAAUACUUUGAAGGUCAUAAGUGAAAAAAACAUUAGAUUUAAGAUGUUUUGAGUUUAUAAAAACAAACAACUUACAACUUACGUUCAGAUAUCAAAAAAUAAAAAUAAAUAUAUUAUCCUAACACGUGCAUUCAGACCAAUUCAUAUUUCUGGUAAAAAAACAAAUGCCACCUAAUAAAGCUGUCGAUGCCAAAAAAAGACCUCAACAACUGAAUUUGUUUCUUUUGGAGAAUUACAGCGCGAAUCCGAGCUCAAACGCUAGUCUGAUCGCAACUUUCUAUACCUGCCAACCAGAAAAUAUGGUUAGGAUACGCCAGGGGGUUCCGGCAUAGACUCUCCGAUGCUUAAGUUAGAAAUUAUGUAUAAAGGGAGAAAAUUGAUAAUGAAGGAUUGUGAAUGAGUUAAAGUCAAGUAAUUUUCCAGUCAAGGGAUAGAAAAUCUUGUAGAGAAGGUUUAAACUUGUAGAAGCUUUGGUUCAUUUUGCUAACCCCCUCACCUAAUGCGCUCUUCAGUUUAAGUAGGCUCUUGUUCGUGGACGGUUACUUCCUUAACUUCAGCCCACUUUCUUCAAUAGUUGCAAGUGGUUGUCAGUUGGAGGUGCUUUAAAUAGAUCGUGGCACAUAACUUCUCUAGAAAUUAGGCCACGUUCUCUUGAUUAGUAAUUUUCUAUGUCAAGCUAAUUCUCAGGUCGAACAAAUAUAUUUUGAGGUCGGAUUACUUCACUUUUAGAUCGGACAUAUGAAUUUCUCAAUCGCUCAUAUAGGCUUGAGGUUGUAUUUAAAUUAAGUCAUUCACAUAAACCUCAGGUCGUGCUUGUAAACCAGGUCACCAACAUAGGCUCCAGGUUGUACUUAUGAGGUCAGUUCAACAGCAAUAAAUUUUGAGUAGAUUAGGAUCAACAAUAUUUUGAGACACUACCAAAAAAAUCCAACCUAAACAAAAGUGAAAAGGCAUGUUUGCGCGUGGGCCCUUCAAUGUAUAACUUCCGAGAUGGUCCCAAAAUUAAACAGGAUGUAUGCUAUAAAGUUUCCUUCUGCAUUCCCGCUUUUCACAUUAACGUGGGUCUUGGAGUUUUGGAUUGGAAUUUGGAAAUUACACGUACAUGGUUAAGGUGUGUCGAAGAAAAACAAAAUUGGGCUAGGAUAAAUUAAAAAAAAUCAAUAAAAUUAUAUUUGGUAUUGUUUUAUUAAACAAUGAAAAAAAAAAUUAGUAAACAAGUUAGAUUAGCCACCACAGACAAUUUAUAGGCAUCCAUUUAAAGCAAAUUGAGUAAUGUUAUAAACUUAGAAUCUUUAUCAUUUAAAAAAAGUUUAGUAUUGUGAUUGUGAUUGAUCAACGCAAUCAUAUAAAUACAAUCAUUACACACACUUAGUAGGUUUUUAUAUUUUCCAGGAAAAAAUUAUAAAAACGAGAAGAAUACAACUAUUUUCACUUCGUCAAAUCCCCUAAGCAAUGUUUGUCUUUAGUGGAAGUUUCUUUUUGCAUUUUCCUAACAACUUAUUUCUACAAAAAAAAAAAAGAAUCAAAUUGAACUCUAUCAUCAAAUUGAACUAGCCUCCAAAUCUUUAACAGUAUUGCUGCCCCACCAAUUUGCCUUUUUCAUGGACAGCCAGACGAUGAAUCAGUCUAAAUUUUAGAAAAUUUCACCCACACGUUUGCUAUUAGUUUCAAGUCAAUUCUGUUUACUACUCUACUUUCCUCAUUCAACCAUGAACUAGCCUCCACCGUAAGAGUUUUAAACACAUCACCCCACUUCUUAGUAGUCAUACAUCUUCUUUUUUGCCUCACUAGUCGAGCUUCUUUCUUUAUUGCCAAUCUAUGACAAGCGAUUGCAGGAUCGAUUCCUGGUAUGUCGUCGUGUGACCAGGCGAACACAUUCGCAAAUUAAGGUCUUGAAAGCGAUGGCGAAGCGAACCUGGAAUGAGUCAGUGAAAUAUGGGUGGUAAUUGUUUAUGGCUUUAGUAAAGAACAAGGAGCAAGAGCAGGAGUAAUCUUAGUCAGCCCAGAAGGUGAAGAGAUUUCGUGUACAAUAAAAUUAGAAUUCAAAGCCACUAACAACCAAGCGAAAUAUGUCUAACUCUGGAUAUUCCUUCUUGAGCAUAAACAUAAUGCAGUCGUAAUAGAAUGUUACUCCAGAGUUGUACUUAGUGACACUCUGUUUUUCCAAAAAAUCAAUUUUGCUUUGGAGGUGGUGCGUCUCUGCUUCAAACUAAUGCUCGAAAUCAAACCUUUAAGUGUCACGAUCUUUUCUAGAGUUGAUCAGCUCACUCCUCACGACUGGAAGUUCGCGUUCAAGCUGCGAAGAGGUAGAUUUAGACAAAGCACUUUAUCCUCGAGCUUUUGGAUCAUAAAACCAAGUUUGGUCAAUUGAUCUUUCUCCCUCUCAACCUCUUUUUUCAUUCGGCCUUCAUUUUCUUGUCAUAAUUGCCAAUUUUAGACCUAUAGGGAGAAGAGAUGGCAGAAAGCUGGUAGAUGCACCACUGUAUAGUGUUGUACAACUCAGGUGCAUGAUGAUCAUUCUGCUAAGCAAUAAACUCUCACUUCACAAACUUGUCGAAGUCUUUUUGAAAGGAGCUUGGGAGAGUGGGAAGCUCGCGAGCAGAAGACUUUUUCGCUAGAUCCUCUGGCUCACUAGGAGAAGGACGAGGUAGGGUUUAGAUAUGAGAAACAGCUUUAGAAGACCGUGAGGUGGAGCAGAUGAGCUGCUCGGGGUGUACACAUUUUUUUAUCUACUCAAGAAUGCUGCUCAUAUCUUUAGAAGUAUCGGAUACUAGAUGAUAAUUGACCAGGUUAUUGAUAGACAGCAAGUCCUUAUACGAGCUUGCAUCAGCUAGCGCUGUUUUAACCUGCAAUUCCGGUUUCUCUUUGAUUUUGUAGCUCAGACUCCAAUAAAAUGGAACAUAAAAAUCAAGAUUAGAUAAAGUAAUAAACACAAUAAAGGAAUAACAGUGAAAAGCGAUCAACUUGAGAUGCAAAAGCGAGAAGGAACAUGGAUUUCUCCUUUUGAAGUAGAGACUACUUGACCCUAGUUACUUCUGGCAAAGAAAAUUUUGUUCUUCUAAUUUCCACCAGAGGUUUGGAGAUCUAUGCUUUAUUUUUAGCUGCUCAUGAGGUAAUACCAGCCCGCGUCUUUUGGACUACUUCUGAGUUGAUACAAAUGUUUUAUCUCUUUUAAAGAAGGCACAAUCAUCCUACAUCUCCAAUAUAGAACAAAUAGGCUAAAAAAGGGUCUCCAUCCGUUAGGGUUGAGUUGACCAGGUGAUAGGUGCAAUCUUCCUAAAAUCUUGGCAAAGUAAGGUUGGAGUGGUAGCCUAACAUCGAGCUUAAAACAUUAUAAAUACAAAGUCACAACCCUAUUGGGGGACGACUGAGAAUAUCACCUUUAUUAGGAAUUAUUAGCUCAAUGUCAUUUGGAAUACUGUAUUCCAUCAUAAGCCUAUCCAGAUCUUCAUGAUUAGUCUCAUAAUCCAUGAAAUCAAUGGGGUAAGACUUAGCUCCAGCCCUAUGACUAAUCCUAGUUUUCUCUAAAUCAAACUCCUCCGAGAAUAUUUCAUCACUAACUUCACUUUCAUCAAUAAACUGUACUAUGUUAGUACCAGGAUCCAUAUCAGAAUCCCUCUCUAUCCCAUCAACUCUUUCAGAGGGACAUCCUCCUAGGAAGUUCCCUAAUCCCAAACGACCUAAUCCCUUCCACAGACCUACGAGGGCUAGAACCUAACCCACCAGGAUGAUUAGGCGGGGCAUUCAAUUCGUCCCUACUACCAGGGUUUAAUGAUGUUCUUUUCAUUCUAGGCACCGUGGUGGAUAUAAUAAAAACCCAAACAAAAAGAAACAAAAAGCGAUAUAAGGGGCAAUCAAGUGAGAUUAGGGUUACAAGUUCAAUACCUGUAAGUAUGGUAACUGAGAAGGCAAGUACAGCAAAUCUGACUGUAAAAGGAAAAGCUCUCAUUCGAAGUCUUAGAUAAGGGAAAGGGGGAAGAAUAAUUGAAAAAUUUAUCUCGAGUUUAUAGAAAAUGAUACAACGUUUCAGAUGUCGUCGUAAGAAUUCGAAAAAAAUAUCGAUCUCAUAAGAUGUAUUGAUAAAUCCAAGGGCCACCACUUCGAUUUUUAAACGCUUGGACCGGGUUUAGCCACGUCACGUGCAUUUAAUACGAGAGGAUGCAAACCCGACCGUCAAAGGUUUGAAUAAAGAAACUACUGACUCGUAACCAGGUAUAUAGUUUCUAGUUACAUUUCAUUGCACUCAAAGCACUAAAAACUAGGGGGACUGAUGUUUGGGGUAUUAAGAUUUACCAAAGUCGAGGGGGGUUUUGUUAUCUGGCCUCAUGUAUCAAACACUUAUCUGGUCGUAUGUAGCAAACAUGACCAGGAUGACUAGAGCAGACCAUGAGCUGGUCACAUGAUUUUCACAGGCUAAGACAAGAGUUGCUUUUGGGAAUUGGUCAGUAACGUCGAAGCGUGUUUAAGGCAUAAUCAGGCGUUACAACGGCUGACCAAUAACUAUAUAAACGGACAUAUUAACCCACACACUUAAAUGAUACAAUCAAUGCAUUUAAUUAGAUAACGACCACAAUAACUGACGCUCGUGAUCGCCUAUAAAAGCGGGAAAAAGAUCCAAAAAAAGGGGUUGGACUUUUUAAGCUAGAUAUCAUCUCUUCAAUAUAGAAAAUCACAUAAGAUCUCUGACUUGAGCAUCGGAGAGUUAACGCCGUAAAAUUCGGCACCCCUGACCAUCUUUUCUGUUGUUUCAAGUUAUUGGAAGCAUUGAGACAGUUCAAUAUUUGUAAUAUCAACAAGAGAUUAUCUUUAAAUAAAGGCAGAUUUGACCGUUGACAAGGCAAUCUGGUCGUCGUCAUCCGCUCGACCAGAUUUCAACGUCAACAAUUAGUUUAAACUAAAAAAGAAAAUUGAAAAUUUUCCUCGCUUAACACAUUUAAUACAAUGUUGAGUAUGAUGAAAUUGGUAGAAGAAAAGUCAUGGCAUAUCCUUGUCUCACAUGUUGACUGGAGUUUGUUUUCCAUUACAUUUCCUAUGGAAACUAUUCUAGAGUUUUCUCACUUAAGUCCUUGUUGUUUGCUGAAAAUGACAUAAAGAACAGAGGUUUAUAAAAUGUCGAGUUUAAGUUCUCAUUGAUUGCAUUUAUGUCAGUUAGGACUACUUUUUUCUUUCUUCUUCUUCUUUUUUUCAAAAGAAAUUUAUUUUAUUUCAAUCAACAAACUAGCUAUUACAAAAUCAGUAAAAGAUCAACAAACUAAACUAAUGUGACCAUGGGGAUCAAUAUUCGAAUACGCCAAUACGGUAAACAUUUGAUUAAACCCAUCAUGAUUGUUAUCAAAUGGUCAAACUUGUCCGAGGACUUAAUAGAAACAAGUUACAAUUACAAAGAUUUUAUGUUGAAUAUUUUUAAAACUUCUGGUAUCUCAAGGCAUUUUUAAUAAACAAUAAGGAACAAAGUGAUGAAAACGCAUAACUUUAAAGUUAUGACCCUACUUGAUAUUGAGAAACUGUAUUUUAAAAGUUGCAGUUGUUGUGGAAAAAAUUAGAGUAAUAAAAUAAAUAUUUUAAGUGCAUGGUAAAUAUAACUUUUAAAUAAUAAUUUCGAUAAAAAUAGUAAAGACAUUUUAAAUUUCUCAUCAUACAAGUGCAUGAUAAAAUUAACUUAACUUUUGAAGUAUAGUAGUUAGUGUUUACCAAAUAUUUAAAUUUUAUAAUUAAAAAAUUAUAACUACCCAACCAUAGUACUAAACAGAAUUAUAAUUCAUCAGCAGCUUCCCCAUUGUUGAAUCUCUAGUUUAUAGAAUAUGCAUAUGCAAGUAAACUCCUCGAAAGUGCCCAGUUGAAAUCAUUUUUCUUUAUUGUAAUUGACUUGAGUGUGGGAAGACUUGGCUUUAAAUUUUGUGAUUAUUUUUCUUUCCCCUUUGCCGACAUUUUCCGUGUGGAAUUUCCCGAUUGCCUCCUCCUUUUGAACUAAUCAAAUCACGCAGAAAUGAUCUUGCUAUUUUGAUGUAAAAAAUAAUCACCUACCCUUUUAUUUCUUCCUCAAAUAAUUUUUCUAGAUGAUCUUACAAUUUUGGUCAAGGACUUAAGAGACACAAACUACAAUUACGGAGCAUAUAAGUUGAAUAUUUUAAAACUUCUGGCCUCUCAAGUUUUCUUCACAAACAAGGAGUGAAGCGAUGAAAACCCGUAACUGAUAAACCAUGUAAAACAGAGUACCUGGUUUUGAAUUUCUUAUGUUUGACAAAACUCAUGGACCCGUGGCCUGUUGGAAAGAUUAGUGUUGGACCAGAAUGAAACAAAUCAAAAGGCUAAUGGAAACGACAGGAAGCUUUGCGUUUUGGUGUCUGAUGCCAAAGCAAAACGGCACAGUAAGCUGCGUUUCAUGAUGUCCUAAUAUCACUUCACAAAACGACCCAAGGUUCUACCGUUUUGGUUACUAAAAUCACGAGCAAUGCACGUGAGUUUUUUAAUGAGCGUGUGAAGGCUGUUAAAGCCGUUAAUAGCAUCUGCUUCUCACGUGCGUUGCUGAAGUGGCUUCUGGGUUUGUUAUAAACAUGGGAGUUGAAGCUGAUUCUGGUGUAACAAACACAGAGGGUUCCAGAGGAUUCAAGAAAGAGAAAGCUUGUGAGAAGAGAGGUUUUGAUACACCUCUUCUGCAACCAAGGAUGUAUCAAGCAAGCUUGCACUCUUGGAGUGAGUGCUGACUCCAAAAGAAAAUUCAGAGAUGAAGAUCAAGAGUGGAAAGAGAGGUUGAGAAUGGAAGAAGAGUCGAGAGAAUUAGAAACGAAAUAUUUCAUUCCAGAUAGCACCACACGAAUUCGUUAUGUUCUACAUAUACUCCUCUGUCUUUAGACGUAAAAAAAUACAGCUCAGCAACUUGUAACAGAAAAUAUGACAGCAAAAACAAACCAGCAAAUAUAGGGCCCUAGCAAUUUCACUACACGACAUAAUCCUUAAACCACCCAGGGGUUCUUCUAACUCGUGUGCUUGUGUACCGUUCCUUACGAGCUGAUUCUUCCUCAACCUGUGAUGUGGCUUCCUUCAUGGGCUGUUUAUAAUUGGACUCAUUGAUGGGCUGCCCUUCUUGUAAACAUUCCGGUUGAUCCGACUGAUUGUGGAAGGUUGUAUCAGGUUUCUUGUUCCUUGAGCUUGGCUCUGUAACUCUGAGUGUAAAGGAGACUUGUUUCAAUCAAUAAAGGUGAUCAAUUUGCUCCUCCGUGGAUGUAGGUCAAUGAUGAAUUGACUGAACCACGUAACUUGCUGUUUCUGGAUUCUUUCUUGUGUUUUUUGUGUUAUCUUUGAUUUUUUCGUGUUAAUUCAUUGCUCUGGUCAGUUUUUCUUCGUCAUUGUGAGUUCAGAUCAUCUUUAUUUCAUCUUCGAAAUCUGAUUUAGUAAUCUUGGGAGAGGUUGCUCAAGUUGGUUAAUAUAACUUGUCAAUCUCUACAAUUAGGAAGGCAUCAGCAGCAUACAAGUGCAAUGCAAGUAAACUUCACCGAAAAUGCCUUGUUAAAAUCAUAAUUUUUUCCUUGUAAUUGACUAGAGCAUGGGAAUGGCCCAAGACUUCUCUCUGUAAAGCUCCGUCAAACCUUUCCACGUGUUUACCGGUUGCCUCCUUUGAACUAAUCAAAACACACAGAAAUGAGCUUGCGAUUUUGAUGUCAAAAAUAAUCACAUAACCUUUUAUUUCUUCCUAAAAUAAUUUUCUAUUCUCCCUAGCUACUCUGUUGGUUUUGAAAAACAAAAACUGCUGCAUUUUUGGAUCAUUUGUCGUGAGGCUACGAACAAAGCAGAGAUUACGACAAGAGCUACGGUGGAUGAUGAAAUAAUUUCUUCGCUGGAAGUGGCAAAUUCUGAUUUAUUUUCUGGGGAAAAAGGGUCUUCUAUGGGCAGUUCUGUUCCUUCAUUUUCUGCCUGAUGAUGAUGGUGAUGUUCUGUUGUCUCCACGGCUAGCCUUUCUCAAGAAGCUCCAUGAACUGAGCACACCCCCGUAGCUCCGUAGGGAUGACGAUGGCAAGGAACACUCUUAACUAAUUACUUUAAUCCAACUUAAGGGUUAAGCUCAUGUGUAUCAAUCAUUAACGUCAAUGGCUAUGGAUCAAAAGAGAUGAUAUCAUAUUUAUAACUUUAAGCUUAUGAGAAGUCUUUUCAAACGAUAUCCAUAAGAGAGACAAUCAAUGGUAUCAUAUUAAUAGCUUUAAGCUCAUGAGAAGUUUUUCAAUGGUAGUUUAAGCAAUUUCUCUCUCAAAUGUAAUUCAUUUUGGGAUAAUUUAAUGCCAUUGCAUUAACCUUUUCUUAUGGUAAUUUCUAAUCUAAAUUAGAGAGUUUUCUACUUGAAUAAUAUCUUUAUACAGACUGGCUGGCAUGCAUAGAUGAGAAUUGAAAGGAAAAAAAAAGCGAAAAUAAAAUAACAAGAGUUUUAGUCUCCAUAUGCAACGACAGAUGUAUACUGUGUUGGUUUAAAAUAUGAAACCCUAGACUCCUUAUUUUUCUCGCUUUUUUUAUUCUAUUAAAAAAAAUAAGAGAGAAACCAAAAGCGGCGUUACACUUGUUCUUGUUACAGUAGCCCACCUUUUAAAAAUAACACAAGGCCCAUUAUACACAAACAUAUUAAAAGGAGCCUCCCAUUAAAUAAUAUAUUUAGGUUUUUAACCAAAAUUGUAACACCCCAAAAUUAUCACUUGCGGAACACAUGGUAAUAGGUUACUAACAAAUCAAAAAUCCUUACACAAAUUCACGAACUGAAAUACCUCAAAUUUUAUUAAACAAAUCAACAAUUACACAAAUCAGAUACUUGACAUUUUCUCCCAAGUCAUAAAAGUAACAAAUGUCUCAAUACUCUCCAAAUACAAAUUCAAUAGAACAACAAACUUAAAGGCUAAAGAAAUUCAUCCUUCUUUUAUUCAACUUAGCAAGUAAAUAAAUCUCUAGCGCCAAAGAUAACCACACUUCUGAACAAAGUCACUUAAUCUACAAAAGUAAUGACGAUGGUAGAGCCGUCAACUUUGAAACUGACCUCCAUAAUUAUAUGUUAUUUAGGAUAGUGUUCUCGAAUAAUAAUUCGACUCAUGACACAUUGAUCUCUUUACUAAACAAUCCUUUGUACCACAUCACUAAUUAAAUUGAUAUCUUAAUUGUCCAAUCAGUUUAAUUACAUCUUGUUCCUUGACACUUACUAGUUUUCUCUAAUGAUCAUUUUUAACAAAUUAAUUAUGUUGACACACUUUGGCUAGAGAAUUUUAUGAUCAAGUAUCGAAAACCUGUCAAGAGAUGCGUUGUACAAAUUCUAUAUUGUUAAUCUAUAAUCUCACUGCUCAUAAUUGCUUCCACCAAAAUACUGGAUAAUCUUGACUACAAAUGUAUGCCGCACAUAUUGGUAACUCAAAUGAAAUAAAAAUCACAAACAUGAAACUAUAAUUAACUCAAAAUUGAGAUUGCAAUAAAAUCAAUGUCUAUGAGAUUUAAUAAGUCUGACAGUCAUUUCAAGGUUAAUUAAAUCUUAUAUGUGAUCCAAUUCAAUGUAGUCAAGUUACAUCAGUAAAUUCUUACAAAAUUAAGACAAAUCAUUCAAUAAAUUUACUACAGUCUAAACAUAAAUAGAGUGUCUAACUCUAUUUAUCAACUGCGAACUUUAUUUAUUUAAUCACAUGAUAACUUGUAUUUAUGUUUUUUGUGAAUCCACAUGAUCAGCGGCAGAUUUUAAUGAAGACUAGAGUAUGCCAUGGCCCUUGUAAAAAUUUCAAGUUUUUUUAAAUAUACAUGAUAUCCCCUAAAUUAUAAUAGAAAUUAAAAAAAAAUCUUUAAACGAAAUAUACAUUAUUCACUCCGACCCCUGUAACCAAAGUUUUCAGCUUUCGUCCCUGCAUAUGAUGAUCACAUAAAUACAUAUAAUAUGAUUAAAUAGACCUUAUUCAAAAUAUUUAUACAAUUAAGAAUUUUUAAAAAAUAUCUCAAAUAUUUUAUUAAUUAGAAAAUAAAUCAAUCAAUAUACUUUAAAGAGCACAUAAUCCCAAUAUAUUGCUAACCCUGUUUAUGUUAUAAUAGGAUAAUUGCUCUGAUAAACUCUAUUUUUCAAACUCUGUUGUUUAUGCAUGUGCAUGCAGUUAGACUUUUUAAAGGAACUUUUUCAUCCAAAUCAAGUGAAACCUUCGGGAUAUGGCUGGAAGAAUAAAUGGCUCAUGCAAAAGAAAUGCUUGGAAAAUGUUCAUUUAGGAGGUAAGAACCUCAGAAAACUAAACAAAGAGAGUAGGUUAUAAAGAUUUGCACAAACUGUUUUCUUGCUUGGGUGUGCAGAACAUCCUGCCUGUAUUCAACAAUCAUCUCAGCUGAACGACUUGAAAUUGUCACGAAAAUUCUUUGAGGCCUGGCUUUUUUACAUAGUUCAGCGAAGCAGGCUAUUCACAGAGAUUUCAAGGCCUCCAAUAUACUGCUUGGUGAUGUUAGUUCUCAAUUGAUCUCUCUUGUUACCACUGCUUUAUGUCAUAUCUGAUUUUAUGCUUGCUACGCUAUGCAGACUUCUAAAUUUAAUCUGUCCGAUUUCUCCAUAGCCGAGGUUAAUGUUAUGGAUGCUGCUGACUUAACAACUUUGGACAUGUCAUCUGCUUAUCCAUAGCAUUUUUUAUCCAGAUUGUCAAUCAACAACCAUUUUAUAUCCGACUUGUCAUUACCUUCAAUUCCGUUGCCUUUAUCUUUUUUUGGGUCUGAACCACGAGAUGGUCCUAAGUGGGCCCCAACUGUGGAAGGCACCUUUAAACCUGUACCACAAUACAGACUAAUCAUCACUCGCACCGGGUUAGCCCGUAAGAGGUAAAGUGCUGGCCAAAGUGGUGACUCCAUACGAGAGUGAGGCUUGAACCCCUGACUUCUCUUAAGGAGUGAGAGUGCCGGACCACUCACACCAACCAACUUUGGUUCCGCUGCCUUUUUCUUAUCCAUAGCAUUGAUUAUGAUUCUCUUCAAUAAGCUUCCACUUAGGCCAUUGCUUCUUGUAUCUGCAUUUUCAAUGCUCGGUGCUUACAUGUGCAUUAUAUCUGGCCCCACAAAGCCUCACUUGAGCUCAUUCUACUCAACAUUUUAAGGUUCCUGGAAGAUAUCUUGAUAUAUUUUCUUUGGCAUGCGACACAUUAUUGUAAUGAUUAAGCUCAUUAUGUCCUAUGGAUUUCCAUCGAUCAAUACACUGGAUGUGGUGUGAGCAGAGAAUUAAGUUCCUAUUUUUAUUAUUAAGAUGUCUGGUGCGUUUAAUGUAUGACACUGCUGUAUUAAUAAAUUAUGAAUGUAAAAUAUGAACAGAGUCUGAAAAACUGUCAUGCCAGCAGGCAUGGUUAUCAAUAAAGCUGUUAUAGUUGGUUCACUAGUAGUUCUUCUUUAGUUUAUAACUACCUAAAUUCACCUACAAGUUAUGCAUUUGGGUUCAUGUGUGAGAGACAACCCCAGACUGAUAAGAGUCUUUUUGUGUUUUAGCUUGAUGGCCUGAAAUAUAUAAUUAACCCCUCAAGCUAAUUAUGUUUCAUCAGCCAGAGAGCCCCCAAGUAUAUUUCAAUGUCAUAAUUGAGGUAAGCAUCUUCUACAGGAACAGAUGAUUGAAAACAAUCAACACACACAAGUUUAUAAUAUAAAAAUUUAUAGUGGGGUGACUUUACAGGAUCAUAAGCUAAACUAACGUCAUUGGACAAUUUGGUCGCUAGGUAGAGGAAGUACAGCAAAUUGCUUCGUCAUAGGAUUGUAUAUAAAUGUGAUUCUAGUUGCUAUAGUCAAAGCUGGAACAAAAUAGAAACCCAUGAGAAGAUUGCUCAAUUCGUAAACCUGAACGAAUAUUUCAAAACAUUAAGGCAUUUAAAGGGCGCAAGAAUUGUCUUGUCUGUAAGAGGGACAAAACCGUGUUCUGGAUUAAUGAGAAGAGAACUCCUGUGCAAGAUGAGCCCUGAGACUAAAUGGCUGUCCGGGUAAAGGUGGAGAGAGAAAUCAGGACUGGAAAUGAGAGAGAUCCAGUGUCUUUGGAACAGAUUUGAAUCUUAGUAGUGAUUUUUUCUUUUGUGCGUAAAGUAACAAGGAUCCUAUUUAGAAAGAGAUCAUUAUUUGCAAUGACAGAGGAAGCUAACUUCCUUUUGUUAGAAGACAUAUUUGAAGCUUCUCAUGGCAACAUGAUAUGUCACUUGCACUCUUAAAUAAAGUUUCCGUACACCAAACUACCCCUUAAAAAUCUCGAAAAGCCUAUUGCAGUGGAGAAAUAAAAAGAGAUAAAAGAACAUGAACUAUUAAAAGUGAUAACAAAGGUAACCAUUAGCAUCGCAAAAAGCAUAUUUGACGUUUCAGGAUGCUAAGCAUCCCACCAAGUGAAAGUAUGACAAGCAAGGGCUAAAUUAACCAAGUAGUCGGCUAUGCUUUAAGCCUCUAGAUAACUAUGUGGCAGUGAUUUCGAGAAGAUCUUCAAGAUUGUUGCCCCUGCGAUUGGUUCUAUUCCUCCGCAAACAGAUAAUGAAGCGCCAAAAGGACAAAGUGAAUUUCCCCAUACUUAGUACAGACAUUCCGAACAAAAUGAGGGCAAGGACUAAUGACCACACCAACCCAUUGCUUGAGAUGCUUGAUUUCCCAACUUUCACAUCGAAUUUAGGCAUGAUCUCGUCCACUAAGAGAAUAUAAACAAUGGCCGUGCAGAUUACAAGAAAGAGUACAAAUGUUCUGAAACGUAAGGGCCAUACGAGCAAUAGAAUGGCAAACAUGGAAGUCAAGAACCCAGCAGAGUUGAAAAUCAUGACGUAGACAACGGUUGGCAACUUACUGAGUACGUCAUCCUUAUCAGCGUGCAAUGUUUUAACUGCAAGACAAUCUUCUUUUAAGGAAGUAAAAAGAAUAAAAAAAUAAAAAAAAAGUUGUAAACACUACCAAAAGAAAAAUAAUAAUUUAGUUAAAAACUUUUACCAGCAAGAGUAUCCUCUUUGAGAAAGGAAUCUGGCAGAUUGCAAGUAACCGUGAAAAAUGCUGCAGCAAUCGUUACUACUACCAUCAAUAACACGUUUCUUGUCUCUAUGGGCCACCGUGUUUGGUUCCAGCUGACAUUGGCACUCCCCGCAUCAGGGAGCUGCGGAGAUUGCUGAGCAACAGCUCGUUGAAUGAUCCAGCCUAUUUCCUUGAAAACAGAAUCCUGAGAAUUAGCAUUGCAUAACUGUAAGGCCGUUUGUCCCUGCUUAUUCACGGUAUUGAUUCGAAUCAUUAUGCGCCUAUUGGAAUUCUCACGGAUGAGUAGCUCCACUAUCUGCAAUGAACGCGACAGGAUUGUCAAGGCGUGCGUUAUGUUUUGGCAAUCAAAAUUCAAAAACUGUGUUCGCAAGAGACAAAGAGCUUACCUGCUUUAAUUUGUUAAGUGUGGCGAGGUGCAAUACUGUAUUGCCCUCCUUGUCUUUCCAAGUGAAGAGAUGCUCUUUUCUGUGACUCUUAGCCUCAUCCACCAAGGCUUGAAAGGCGUCCGAUCGGGACUUCUUCACAGCAAGGUGUAGGGCCGUCUCUCCAUUUGAAGUCAGCUUCUCAAGAGACUCCGGGCAAAUAGAAACUAAAGCCCUAAUAACAUCAGAAUCACCUUCCAAAGCUGCUCUGUGUAGCGGUAUCAUUAAAGAGUUGUCUACUUCAAGGCAAAGUUCGCGAUUAUUUUCUCCGAAAAUCCGAACCAUCCGGGCAUCCCCAUCCGUUGAAAGUAAGUGCAUGGUUGUUUCACCUCGCUGAUUUUUAAUACUGGCAAGUUGAGGCCACAGCCUUGCCAUUUCUUUAGCUGCUUCAAGGCUUCCAGGCAAGCAGGCGGUGAUGAGCAGAGGAUCCUCCGAGCGUUGGCAUGCUUUAAUAAUCUCAUCCAGUAAAUUCGGAUGCUUUGAAUUUAAUGACUUGACUCCUUCGACAUCGUUUUUUUGGCAAGCUUCCUGAAACAACUGCUCCAAGUUAGCCAUGACAAUUGACAGACACUCACACUGUGUUUAUGUGUUAUAUUCUUCUUCCCAUCUCGCAGUUGAGCUCACAUCACUCUUACAUUGUUAAUUAAUUACAACUUUUCUCUCUUUCUGGGGUGGGGUUUCUUAAUCCGUCUAUAUAUAUGUAUAUGUAAAUUAAUUGUAUGUAUAAUUAAAAAAGAAAUAAGAAAAAGUAAAAAUCCAAGAACUUUCCUCUUUCUUUCCCCUUCCGUGUAAUUUCCAGUGGAAUGAAUUACACGAAAACGCGGCAUCUCUAUGAAGAGAAGAAAGGAAAUUGUGGUGGAUAAUUCAGGGAAAAUGGGCAAUGCAGAUACAUACUUCUUCAAUACCUUCAAUUUAAUAAAAAAUUUAGAAUUUUAUACUGUUCGAACUUAAAUGUCAACAUAUUACAUAUACGACUUUGUUGAACUUGCAUAAGACCAAUUGCUUCAAUUGACAAGAUAUCUAGGCUGAUAUAUACAUCUAUUAAUAAUGAAAAUAAACACAUAUUACAUAGCACAACAAAUCGGGUGCCAUAACUAGCUCCAGUUGGGCACAUUUUAAACAAAAUUUUAAGACAAAAUUCAAGAAAAGAUACUGGACAAUUGAAUAAUAUUGAUUAACAUAUAAAGUUUUUAUGAAAUACAAUUGUUCGUGAAUAUAUAUAUAUAUAUAUAUAUAAAGCUCUUACAAGGUUGUAAAUUAAUUUUACACAUUAUAAAAAUCUUUUACAAUAUUGUAAAAUCUCGAAUCCGUAUUUUAAAAACAACGCUUGGGAAUAUAGUUUCUUUAGUGAAAUUUUUUAUUACGGCUAUAAUUAUUAGGAUUGAUUUUGAUUAUUAGAGAUAGAAGACUAAUGUUUGAUUGGAACGCUAAUCUAUGUUUGCCUUACGAGAAAUUUUAGAAUACAUUUGAGGUAUCAUGUCACCCAUACAACAAGCAAUGAUGCCAUGACAUAUGUGCAUUUAUUUUGAACUACUAUCAUGCAAGUGGUGGUUGAAUUAAAUUCAAUUACACAUGUCAUACAUAAUUCAAUUGGUUGCAAUACAUUUGAGGUAUUAUACAAUUUCUCCUGCCUUACAGGUACUUAACGGUGACAACUUCCAUUCCAAGUGGUUGAAUUAAUUGUAAGUCCCGAGUUACUAAUAUAAAUUUCUAUGUCUCUCACAUAUGUUUUUGAAAGAAAUUUUAGAAAAUAUUUCAGAUCUAAUUUGUUGUGUUAUAAUUGUACCAGCAAAUUUAAACUACCCCUUUAAUAUAGUUAUCCCAUGUUCAGUUGAGAAUAAUACAACAAACAAAGUGCAAUAUAUUAUUUGAGAAUUGCCAAAAAAAAAUAAAUAAAUAAAGGGGGGGACAAAUACUCUUCAUUUCAAAAGGGGCCGACCAGACUAAGGUGAGGACAUGGCAAUGCAUACAUCCCAUUGGGUUUUGGAAGUAUCGUAGAAGCCACGAGCUUCCCCUUUUUGUCUUUUGCUUUUUUCCCUCUUUUCUUUUCCCGUAAACGUCCUGAAAAUUUCUCUCUUUGUUCCCCAUGGGAGGAAGACGACUUUCAAGUUUGAAUUGUCAAUGGACAAAACCCGACAAAUGGGAAUGGGCGGGUCUAUAGCAGAUCCAUCUCUCUCUCUCGAAACCAGUGUCCACAAUAUCAGGCAUCAGCCCAAAUCCACACCCAUCAAAUUUAAGACCAAUUCAAACUAUCGCUUUAAUUUUAUGAGUCAAGCUUUUGACACCCCUGAAAUUUCCGUUGUAAAUCCGCUCUCCGAGAUAACAACAGUAUAAGUGUAUAACACCCCGAUAAUUUGAAAACUACACUGCAAAUAUAUUCCUCUACUUCUCUUUAAUUAUUAAAUGAUCCCAUAACCAAUAGAUAAUGAUAUUCAAUUGUAUGCAUAGACUGCACUUCAUUGCAUCUUGUAGUUCAUUCAAUCAAGUUCUCCCUCUCCCAAUUGGCAAUUUUCGACUCCGCAUGUUCAAGUAGAGUGUCACUCUCUUUAUAAGACAAACCAAAUACGCCCAAAUUUUAUUGGUUUUGAAAGCAAUGCUAAAUGUCUAAAUGAAGCAAAAAUGUGAAAAUAGACGUGGCUUAAGAAGAAUAUGCAAAAUUAAAAUAUAUAUACACACACAAUACUUCAAACAAACGAAAUCCCAAGUGCCAAAAACAAAGACCUAGUUAAUGGAGGAUACACAAAAUUUUUUUUUAAUUAAUUAUUUCUCACAUGCAAGUUAUUUGAAAACUUUUUUCUUUUAUUAAAACAAAAAAAUUGCGGCGGAAAAAAAGAAAUAUAUGCAUGUAAGUGCCUGUACAAAAGAAUUUCAUGACAAUUCAUAAGAAACCCUGAAAAAUGUUGAGGAUCUAAUCCAAAAAUAUAACAAUGAGAGGCACAUAAUUGCUAACAAAAUCAUGUGACGAAAGCUAAAAUAUAGCAAAAAACAACUAUAAAUCUAAUGACAUAAAAUAAAAAUAAAAAUACAAAGAACACUAGAGAUUUAAAUAUAAAAUCAAAUCUUUCGCCAAAUCUCCUCUUUUUGGUUUAUAAAUAUGAGGUAAAAGGAUUGAAAAAUGAUCUUUUGGCUAUUUUCUCAUAUGGUAGAGAAAAACCAACUCUAGAUUUAUUAAAAUUCACUAAAUAUAAAACUGACAAGAGUGUUGGAGUGCCUUCUUAAGUACACACUUAAGAUACAUUUGUGGAGAAGAUGUUGAAGACGAGAAGGAAUUUUAUACAAUCUAAAAAAUCAGGUAUAAUUUAAAUCAUUAUUUCAUUUAUAUUUGGAUCAUUGAAGGAUUUAUGGAUACUUCAAUGCUGAAUAAUGAUAUUUAACCUUAAGAGCAACCAGUGACAUGAGAAUGAUAUAAAAUGGAUUAAUUAAAAUGAAUUUUAAUGUGUUGUAUUGAAAUGUACUAAAUUUAACACAGGAUGCGAAUGGUACUAUUUUACUCUUAUUAUUUUAUAUUUUACAAGAAUAUAAAUUAAGAAAAACACAUAUAGAAGAAAAUGAAACACGUUUUAUACUUACAUUUUCCACUUUUGUUUUUGCUAAUGGCCAGUAGAAUUGUAACUUCGGCAUUUUGUUUGUGCGAGAAUGAAUAAAUGAUUUGAAAUUGAUAAGUUUUUGAGGUGAGUGUGGUACUCUUUUUUACCUAUAUUUUUUUUCAUUUUACAAGAAAAUAAAAUAAGAAAAAGGCAGUCGGUUGGGUCGAAUCAAGCAUUAAUAUAUAUUUUAGAAUGAAGCACAUUUUAAUUUUUGCUGGGGCCCAGUAUGGUAGAACUGCAACUUUGACAUUUUCUUAAGCAUAAUCGAAUGGCUCCCGUUUCCAUAGCACUUUAUUGAUACUACAUUCUCUAACUUUUCUGAUAUACUUUUUCGUUUUAAAAAUAAGCUUUUAAAUGAUAUAAAAUAUAAAUUUGUAUUUAUGAUAAUAUAUUAUACUAUUUUAUUAGUGUUCUAGGUCAUGGUUGGUAUUGAGGUGUUGUAAUUUUUAAAUUAUAACUAUUGUAGAAAAAAAGUUGUAAUAAUGAAUUAAAAGUACGUAGUAAAUAUAAUUUUUAAAUAAUAAUUUCAAAAAAAUAAUAAAUAUAUAAUAGAUUUUUCAUCAUAUAAAUGUAAAAUCAAAUCAACUUACCUUCCAAGUUAUAACAAUUAAAGUUACCAAACAAUUUGAUGCUAUAACGUUUAAGUUACAGCUAUCCAAUUUUAAUCCCAAACGAAGCUUUAAUAGUUUAACUCUUUGUUUUGGUUAAAAAUAACAUGUACAAAAAUAUUGGACAUCAAAUUAAAAACUUAUAUUAAUUUAUUUUUGGGUAUAAAUCCAAUAGUAUCCAAGCAAUAUGCUUUCUAAGCUUCAAAAAGUUAGCAUGUUGUCACGGGAUGAGUAUAUUGCAUAGUAACUAGGGAUGGUAAUGGACACCGUCCGCAGCGGGUUUGCCAUUACCAAACCCAAACCCGCACAAAAUUUAAAUUACCAAACCCACCCGCAACCCGCAGCGGGUUUUAACAAUUACCAAACCCGCAAUGGUAUCUAGCGGAUUUUUUGCGGGUUUCCGUAUUUAAAAUUACAAAUUUUUAAUAUAUGAAUUUAUAAUAAUAACCUCAAAUUCCAUAUAACAUAUUCAAUUUUAUAUUUAAACAAUGUAAAUGAAAAAUUAAAAUUUCCACAUCAAUUCAACACAAAUUCUCAAUUUUAAGUAUAAAUUACACAAAUCUAUUUAAAAAACACAAACUAAUAUCUAAAAAUAAUAAUUAAUUUCAUAUUAUCAUUUAAAACAAGAUCCAAGAGAAGAUAUUCAUUUUAUUCACCAUCAUAUGCACCCAUCCAACACAAUGACUAUAAUAAUAAUUAAGAUUAAUAUUUUCAAAUACUAAUUCGAAGAUAAAUGCUUUUAGUUUUCUUUAGGUUAUGACUUUAGAAUAUGAGAUGAGGCAUAUACACACAUACACAACUUUGAGCCUUUGGUUAUUUGGUAAUUUGAUUAAUUACAUUAUUUUCUAUAUAUAUUUUUACAUUUAAAUUAAAUUAAAAAUAUUUGAAAAAAAUUAUUGUGAGUUUGGUGGAUAUCCAUGCGGGUAUCCACCGGGUAUAAGGUUAAUAUCAAACCCACCCGCAUCCAUGUGCGGGUUUUAAUUUAUAAUACUAAACCUGCCCGUAACGGAUAAAAUUACCCGCAAUGGACGGGUUUUGGCGGGUGAGUUUGGGUGGAUUUACGGGUACAAUUGCCAUCCCUAAUAGUAACCUAUGCGAUAUUUAGAUAACUUCUAACACAAAAGUUGUUAAGUGAGUUGAUUGACAUUAAAAAAUGUAUAUUUAAUAAUGAUAAAAUUAAUAAUUUUUCACUUACAAUAUUGAUUAAUGCGCUAAUUAUUUUUUAAUUAUCUUCACACUCCCCAAAUAUAUUUUUAUGUUAAAUUAAUUUAUAGGGUCCUCUUAUGUUGCAACAGUUGCAAUGUGCAACACUUUUUGUCCUCAUUCAAUGUAACCGUUAGAUUUAAAGCCAACCGAUCGAAUGCUUCAGGGAUGGCCACGUUUGUAUUAAAGAAUACCGGAGAAGCCAGUUAAGAAAAGGUAAGUUAUAUCUGAAAACGCACGUUGACUGUUCUGUAAAAAGAAGCCAAGGUGAUAAGCGAAAGAAGCCCCUGGCAAAGGCCAAAUAGGAGGCGAUUCCUUCAUCAGAGGAAGAAAAAAAAUGGGCGAAUUGAAGCCUCAGACGUAUUGUGAAGAGGGCAAAUGCCCUAAUUUGGGGGAGUAAAGGUCUGCCGGCGAGACGACAACCUUUUACAGACACAAUUUUGAUCUUGGGCGAUACCUAUACUUGCGGUUGUAGGUAAUUAUUCGGAUUUAUCAAAUGGCACAUAUGUUAAUACGAAUUUGGAAUGUGCGUUAAUUAGGUUGGAUUGAUUGCAAAUGAUAGGAUUUACAAUGUGAAGAAGUCGUUUGCACACCCACCCCCUGACCUUUUGGGAGCCCACAAAUGCUGCUGCGGCAAUUGUGUGGUGGGUCUUGGAUUAUUUGAUGAUUACUAGUGUUGAUUGAGAUGAUUUAGCUGAUCAAUAAAUUGGUCAGUGUUCAUGAAGAUGAGUCUGUUCUUAUGCUGAUCGAAUCACCCGACACAGUAGGUAAUUCUUUAUUAAACUCUGUAAUUGUUUUUUUGAAAUGAUUUAAACUCGUAAUUAGCUUGCGUUUAUUACAGAAUAUAUAAAUUACCACCGGCACAAUAAAGAACAAACGGGGUAUUUAGCUUGGCAACUCUCGUCUCUCUUUAUUCUCACCAACAAGAAGUGAGAUUUUUAGAAUUUUUGGUCUGCUUCUGCAAAAUGGUAUCCUGUUCUCUCUUUAUGCUUUUUAUUUUAUUUAUUCUCUUCAUAUGAAUUCAUGUUGUUGGUUGGUGAAAAUCAAAGUCGAGUACAAUUGAUCUAAUUAUUGUUACUGGAUUUGCAAUGUAGUUGAACUUGAAAAUAAGAAAAUAGUAAGAUUUUGAACCCAAAGUUGGAGCUUUUAGAAUUUAGAUAUGUUUAGUUAAUACUUAUCUCAUAUUCUCCAGCUGCAAUGCUUCUUUCUUUGAUGUAACACCUCCUAGUUUGUUAUGUUUCUUUGUCAAAGGAUUUAGAUUCUUCCAAUUUCUUUUUUUCUUUUAAUCACUGUUUUUCUCUUUCCAAUACUGAUGAUUUUGGUUUUGCUCUUGUUUUUUUGUUUUAAAACUUUUGCAACUCAUGUAUUUGAUCAUGGUUUCAUACUAUCGGGUUUUGCAGACGAAAAGGACCUAGAAGACAGGAAUUGUAAGUAUGAUAUAUAUUGAGGCUAGUUUUAUUCAUUUUUUUGGUUUGUUUAGUGUCCUCAAGUAUAGAUGUUAUGGUAACGUAGACUUAGAUUUUCAUUUCUUUCCCUUGGGAUAUCUUUAUAUUAAUAGUAGGUACAAAUAUUAUGUCUCAUUAAGCUUUGAGCAUGAAUUGUGGGUUAUUGACAUGUUUAUUGACAUGUUUCUCUCUAGCCUGUUGUUAGCCUUACUUUCAUGUUUUAGUUUGUUUUUGCAUGUGUGGCUUUGUGAUCUUGGAAUUAUAAGUAUUAUUCUUUUCCAGGCACCUGUUAUGGUGCCAAUCUUAAGAAGAUGGAGGUCAGUCAACACAGCUAGUACUUCUGUGAAUUUUGUGGGAAAGUAAUACAUUCCCGUCUUUGCUGUUCAAUGACUGUUCGCUUUUGCUUGUGGAUGUAUUAAAUAUUUACAUAUUCCUUACUGUUGGCAGUAUGCUGUGAGGAAGGCUGUGGGAAUCUGGGGUUGCAAAGACUCUAGCAAGGUGAAAGCUGGAGGCGCUUACACUUUGAAGUAAGAUUCUCAUUAGCUGUUAUAUUUACUUUGAUUGUUUAAUUUAAAUGAUUCUAAAUUAUGUCCUAUGUUCCUUUCCAGUAUUGGUAGUGCUGUGACCGCAAGAGUUACCAUUAGGAGGUUGAGGGAGCAGACUGAGAGUUAAUUUUGUUACCAAACUAUCUUUUUUUUUUUUUUUCAAUUUAUUUGAGAUGGGAUUAAUUCCUGGGACAGGAUUGUCUAAAUGCAUUUCUAUUCUUGGAUUUUUUUUUAAUCUACUAAAAAAUUUUAUUACAAAGCAACCAGUGGUGGACACAAUUUUCAUAUAUCAAUCAUCAGAAUUCAGACAGGCUAAAAGAUAUCCAAUUGAAGCCUAUUUUACUUGACUCAUUUUGCUCCCAUAACCUCUCUAGCUUCUCCAAAAAAUUUGUAGUUACUCCAAGUCUGAAAACACCAUUGUCGGUACAAACCAUUGUCAGGUUACAUAAUUUUAACCUGUAACUUAAAGCCACUUUUUAGAUACAGCAUUGGCUAUUAGCGUAGUGCAGCAACCUCUCUCACAUUCGAAUUCUAGAAAUGAGAUUGGUGAUUUAGGCCAUUUCCUUCCCUAAUCUGCUAACUUCCCAAUAUUUUCACCAUUGCUGUCACCAGAGAUCAGAAACUUUAAACAUGCCCAGUCUCUACAAAGUUAAAUGAAGAUUAGCAUUAGGUCACUACUCAGCUUCGUCAACAUCCACAGGGACAACUUCUUUGCUAUCAAUCUCUGAUAUGUAUUCUUUCAUUUUUUCGCUAACUGGUCUAUCCAGAGCUCGCUCAGCAAGCACAUAAAACAAAGUAUUGCCUUUAGGGCCAUUAACCUUGUCUUUCUGCAAAUAUCUUUGCUAGUGUCUCCAACACCUACUUGGCAUUUCCAAACAGCGGAUGGCUUACAUUAGUUUCACACAAUCCCAUACGUUUCAAAGUGAUGCCAAAGGAUAUCUUCUGGGGUUUUACCUCGAGCAAGAUGCACAAUGCUAAUUACAACAAAUGUAAAACUAGAUAAACGUGCUGAAUUUUCAUCUUCUACAUAUUUUUUGUACACCUCAGCUGGUAGCUGACUUAUGAGAACAUAGGACUUUGCCUUGGCAACAUCAGUUUGUUGAGUAGAGUGCCGUUGAGUAGCGGAUGAAGGGCGGUAUCUCAGAAGCUCUCUCAAUUCAUAGCCAAAAGCAUUAGAGAGCUUCUCUUUAGCCGCAUUGAUCACAUGAGCAGGAAUAGCACACUGGCUAUAGUUUUGGUAACCAAUUGAACAAGGUCUUCUCUCUUGAUCGGACACCCCGAGUUCUAGUGAGUUUUAAAACGGACAUAUUAUACAACUUUUGCAACAAGCUUAUCUAUUUCCUCUUUCGAUAUAUCAAAUUGAGAGAAAUCUUGGGUAGCGUCGGCCAUCCUUGUCGUGAAUUGGUUAUGCUUGGAUAUUUGGUUUAGAAAGUUUUGAAUUUGAAUCUCUUUAUGAAAUAGAUUUUGAUGGACUUUUAGUUUUGUGGUGUUAACUGCAUGGUCUGUUGCUUCAAAAUGUUGAUAUUAAACAUCAUGGCUAUAAUUAUUUAAAUAGGCCACAAUGAAAAUUGAUUUCCACAAUUAGUAAUUAUUCAUAAGAAACUAGCUCCAAUUGAAAUUGAAUAUUUUGUUAUUGUAUUUUAGCAAAAAUAAAUCAAUUCGUUCAAAGGCAUAGGUUGAUUAUCCUUUUGGAUUAAAUCCAUAAACGCCCCAAGAUACAGGCAAGCAUUGAUUGUAUUUCAUUGUUAAAACCAGUGAGCUCACAUACAACAAAGGCUAGGCCGAAGGUCUCUUACCAGCACUCUUAACUCUUACAAUUACAUCCAACUUCACAAAACUCUAAACAAAAAGGAAAAAGGCAAAUAUUAUCUAAACACACAAGUUAUUGUCGUUGCCUCUGUUCUCUCCCUCCAUUCCCCAUUAGUUUGGGAAUGCAUCUAACAGAUGAUUUUAGAGGAACAAACCUAAUAUAGUGCUCUUCCACCAUCUUACUCUGAGAAGCAAAUAUCAUUAAUGCAGGGACUUCAAAAUUUUGAAGCCCCUUCGAUAAAGAAAAAUGAUGAAGAAAGGAUGAUGAUUAAUGACUCAUUAGUCAUCAUCGUCUUAAAGCCAUCUAGACAAUUGUAUUACUAUAUGAGACGUGCAUGGGUAUAUAUCAUACAAAGAGGGACGCUAUCUUUGUUGUUGUUAUGAUGCAUUGACAGCCUUAAAUGUAGCAACUCUAUCUACAUUUGCUACCCUGUUAACUGCUGCUACAGCCCUGUUAACUCUCUCAUCUACCUUAGCCACAUCAUAAGCUUUUCAGUUGCUCAUCGUGCUUCCUGAUUACAAGACAACGACAAUAAGAAAAAAAAUCCCCACUUGAACAACAAUUAACUUGACGAAAGUUAUUAUGACAUUAACAAGUUUUGUGUAGCUUAGUGAGGUUUUCUCACAGACAACCAAAAUUUAAAAAUAACUUCUGAUUGUUAUCUUAAAUUUCAUUCAUCUUACUCACAUCAGUAAAAUGCUGAAAGUGAAGACGUGCAUUAAUCAUAUUACAAAAGGAACAUUGAAACAUCUGCAAUGAAACAAUAAAUCUGUAAUAAAUUUUAGGCAUCAGCAGCUGCUGAGUGUUAAAAUGAAUAAAAGUUUGGUUAAAAAGGUUCAAAUACCUGCACCACAUUGAGUACUUUGUAGUGGUAAAUUGCAAUAGAUGAUAUAAGAUGAGUUGUAUUUUGUGCGCUUGGAAUGUCGAGAAGUCCAUUUUGCCUGUGACCAGAUUGGGUUUCCCCAUUUCUGAAUCUGUACAUUCCAAGCCCUUGUCUUAUACCCUCACGCCAGGCCCCUUCAUACCAAUGCCUAUUGGCAAAACGACAGACACCAAAUCCAUGCAUCUUGUAUUCUUCAGCAUAUGUGUCCCCAUCUUUAAGUAAGAAACGAUGUCAAUAUGGGAAGAAAAAGAUUCAUAUGCCUAUGCAUUAAAAAAAAAAAAACAGAACAAACAAUUAAUACAAUCUACUAUUAAACUCACUAUCUAAUAAAAUUCAGCAAGGUAUCUGGACCAACAAAAUGAACACAAAUUAUCCUUAUGAAUGACAUUUUCAAGAUCACUUUAAUCUUUGUCUACCGAUUAAUAAAAUUACGAUCAAACUUAAGCUCACAGUUUGUUUAAAUGUAAAUGCAAGAUUGUUCUGCAUUUCCUUCUCCAAGAAAUUAAUUGCCUUUUCCUCCUUCAUUCCACUGCUGCUUGCAAUAAAAUUAAACAUUGAGAAUUUCUUACCUAUAUCACCUCAUUGCAUUCUUAUAAAUAAACAUAACCGGCUCUCCCAAUCGAAUUAUGAAUAGUAACUCUUUCAAACAAAAUUAACCAUUAUUUUUUCACGAAUUGCCUUCUUCAUCCGCUUCGAACUGCACACCAGUAAAUCAAACAGAUGAGAUAUUCCCUCUACUUUCAGAUAUGGGUAAUUCCUAUACUUUCAGCACCGGAAAAUAUAGGUUGCAAUUUGCUACUACGUUUACAGAAGCACCAUCUGAUUUGUUCCCACAACAGCCCAUAUUCAUAAACAAAACAUCCGAAUCUUUUUCCCCACAAAAUUGCGAUCGUCUUCUCUUGUAUUUGGUGUAUCUUGAUUAUUUGUCAAAUUAAAUCACAUAUACCCGCUGGUUUCUUUGCCUCUUGCCAUCGAAAUUGCUCUGUUGACAACCCAGGUUCCAACUUAGGUGAAUCCUCCAAAUAUUUUCCCCCCAAUAAAAUGCGAUCGUCUUCUUUUCAUAUUCGUGUCCCCGGAUUAUUUCUGAACGGCCAUCUUCUCAACCCUUUGUUUCUCUUUUCUCGUGAGUAAAUCAUUCAUGUUCUUCCUAAUCAACUGUUUCAAACUGACGCCCCCUCAAUAGCCAUUACUUAAGUAGAUAACUGGCUUCAACGGUUGCUAGUACAUACUUUGUUUUUCCACUCAAUAAUCUUAACCGUUAGAUGGAGUCCCUUCAGAUCCUACGACAGUUGUGAAUGAGGACAAAAAAUGUUGUAAGUUGUAACUGUUGCAACAUAGAAGGACCCUAAUUUGUAACAUGUUAAUUUUAAUUUGCAGAUAAAUUUUAAGAAUAAGAAGGAAUCAGAAUUGAAAGUAGGAGACAAAAAGUUUGAUUGUAUUCAUAUAUAAAAGCCAAAAAAAUUAAUAAUAAAAACUAAUAAAAUAAUAAUUAAAGAGUGUGUGUGAGCCACUUAUCAAGAUGAGCAAGUGGCUACCACCAUCCACUUGCUCACCCCUUUAAUUAUUAAAAUAAUAAUAUAAUAAUAAAUUAAAUAAAAAUAAAAGGAAUGAAGGUGGAGGCAUUUGUUGCCUAUAAGAGUCGAAGAAAGGGCGCUAAGCGACAAAAAAUGCCGGGAGAGAACAAAGUGAAGCUGAAGAAUUCUUUCUUUUUUUCUUUUUUUUCUUAUUUUUGGUGUAAUCAAUUUUCUUAUAAUAUAUUUUAAAAAUUUUGUCAAAUAAAAAGAGUGUUUUAUUUUCUUUCAAUAUAAAUAAUUAAUUUUACUAAGUUGAGGUGAAUGGUGAAGCUUAAGAUUUCAAACUAUUAAAUUAAUUACUUUUUCAAAUAAGUUUUAAGUUUAUUUUAUUAUUUUUUGGUUAUUUUUAUGUCAUGUUAAUUUAUAGAUUUCUUUAGAUCUGUAUAAUAUUUUGAUAUAAUACCGCCACAUUAAUACAGUUGUGGCACAUUUAGUACUUGAUUCCAUAUUUAUCCACACAUAUAAUUAGUUAAGAAUUAAAUAAUAUAAUAAUUAACUGAUAAAAGUGAGAAAAAAUAUAAAAAUGAGAGAGUAUUAAAAUUAUAGUUUGAAUACUAUGAGUGGAUAGACUUUUACUAAGUACACCCUGCUGCUAUAUCUCACCUUUGGAUAGACUUUUACUAAGCAAACCUAUCCACACCAAUUCAGCCUCCGUUUGCGGGAAGUUUAAGCCGCCCAUGAUAGUGUGGUGCACAAACAAAAUAACAAAGUAACAACGCGGUUGCUUCCAUUUUUCUUAUUCUUUUUUUUUCCUUUUUUUUUUUCUAUUUAUUGAUAUAAGUCCGCAAUAUUUCCUUCGCGACUCCCAUGUAAUUAUAUAGAGUAAUAUGCAACUAAAAUAAUACAUGUGGCAUUUCUUUUCGAUUUGAUCAGUUUGACCAGGUUGAGAUUUGUCAAACCAUUUUCAGCCCAAAAUUCAAGCGGCUUGUUACAAACUGGCCCAAAUUGGGCCAAUGGUUAGGUUGGCUCGGUUUGACUAGUUUUAGUUUGAAAAUGCUCACCCCUAUGCAAAACCUCUAACAAAUAAGGGAAAAAGACCUAAAAUUUGGGAAAAUAACCAUAAAAACUCCCAAAUUUUAAAAAGGAUACCAAAAUCCCUUUUUCCUCAUAAUACCAUUUGAUUAUAGUAAUUAAAAAAAAUUAACUUUAAAUGUUUUUAAUUAACACAAAUUUAAUAUAAAUAAUAUAAUCUAUCUAAUAGACUAAUAAUAUUAAAUUAUUUUUGACAUUUAAAAUGAUAUUAAAAUUUUAAAUUAUUAUAUUUAUUCUAAUAAUAUAUUUGUAAUAUUAUAAUGAUUUAAAAUAAAUCUUUGUGUUAAAUAGAUUUUACAAUUAAAAUAUCUCCCUAUUAAUAAUAUAAAAAUUAACUUUUACAUAAUAUUUAAAAUAAUUAUAACUUUAGUUUAUUUAUUUUAAUAUUAUGUUUUCUAUCUAUUAUUCAAAAUUACUUUAAUAUAAUAAAAUAGGUCUAAUAGAUUGAAAAAUAUAAAAAUAUUUUUAAAUAUUAAAAUUAUUUUGAAAUGUAUAUAUUAUUACAUUUAUUUUAAUGCCAUAUAUCCAUUUAUUAGAAAAUUUUGGGGUAUUUAUUUGCGGAUUUAUAGAGUCAAAAGGUAUUAUAGUUAAAAAGGGGUCUUGAUGUCCCUUAUUGAAAUUUGGGGGACUUUGUGACCAAUUCCCUAAACCUUGAGUGUAGGUGUUAUUUUCCCAACAAAUAAAAUCUCACGUGCCUAAAACAAAAACCCAGUUAACGAAGGAUACACAAAAAAAUUUUUUGUUAAUUAAUUAUUUUUCAUAUGCAAGCUAUUUGUAAAUUUUUCUUUUAUUGAAAAAAAAAAGCUGAGUGCAGUGGAAAAAAGAAAUAUAUGCUGAAUAAUGAUAUUUAGCCUCAAGAGAAGCCAGCGACACAACACAAAAUGGAUUAAAACGUAUUUUAAUGUGUUGUAUUGAGAUGUAAAAAAUUUGACACAGGGUGCAAAUGGUACUGUUUUGCACCUAUUAUUUUAUAUUUUGCAAGAACACAAAUUAAUAAAAACACGUUUAGUUGGGCUGAAUUACGGUUCAAUUUAUAUUUUUCAAGAAAAUGAAACACGUUUUAUGCUUACGUUUUCCAAUUUUGUUUUUGCUAAGGGCCAGUAUAAUUGUAACCUGGAUUUUUUUUCUGUGCGAAAAUGAAUAAAUGAUUUGAAUUUUUUUUGGUGCAUACUGUACCAUUUUUCACCUAUCAUUUUUUUUUUCAUUUUGCAAGAACAAAAAAAAAAAAAAAAGAAGAGAAAAAGGCAUUUGGUAGGGUCCAAUCAAGCAUUAGUUUAGAAAAUGAAACACAUUUGAUACCGAGUCUUUUUCGUUAAUGUUCUCGGCAGGGCCCAGUGCACUAGAACUGUAACUGUGACAUUUUUUCAAGCAUAAUUGAAUGGCUCCCACAUCCAUAGCACUUUAUUGAUAUUAUAUUAUCUUACUUUUCUGAAUAUUAUAUAUAUAUAUAUUUUACUAAUGUGUUAAUAUUUUACUAAUACAAUGGUUCUUUAAAAACAUAAAAUUACUAUAUUUAUAUACCUUUAUAAUAAUUAAAUAAGUUUUUAAAUGAUGUAAAAUCUAAAUUUGUAUUUGAGAGAACAUAUUAUGCUAUAUUAUUAGUGCUUUAAUAGCUUAAUUGUUUGUUUUUGUUAAAAAUAACAAUUACGAUGACAAAACUUUAAACAAAAACAUUGGACAUCAAAAUAAAAACUCAUAUUAACUCUUUUUUUGGGCAUAAAUCCAACAUUACUAACCAGGCAAGCAAUAUGCUUUCCAAGCUGCAAAAUGCCAGCGGCGUCCUGCACAAAUAAAAUAACAAAGUAAACAACGCGGUUGCUUCCAUUUUUCUUGUCCUAUUUUUUCGGGGUGACUCCGCAAUCUUUCUUUCGCGAUUCCUACGUAAUUUGAUUUCCACUGAAGCUAUUUAAACUUUUCAAUAUGCUUAUUCGUAGUCAGGGAUAGUUUUCAUUUGAUCGUCACCUUUUAUAUCCCUGUGUUCGUUUUACUAACUAAUCUAGCUAAAUCUCUUUUGCCACCAACAGUUUUUUUUUCUUUUUUUAAUUUUUAGUUUGUUGUAAUUUCAUGUUUGAAUUCUGCAGCUAUUGAAUUAUUUUCCAGGCUCAAACUCCAUCUCCAAGAUUAAAACUAUGGGCACUAGUGAUUUUACCGCUUUAGACAUCUCACCUUGGAAGACAGCUAGCUCAUCAGCUGCUUCAAAUUUGCGGCAUAACUGGCCCAUGAAAACAGGAAAGAAGCACUCUAAAGGCAUUAAUGUAUAUCAUCUAUUAUUACUCAUCUCAGCACUGUUAUCAACCACAACCUUCCACAUACAAUUGAACAUCCUGGGAUGCAGAGCUGAACAGGCCUACGAAUGCAAUUCUAGCCGCCUAAGUCCCUUCUGCCAGAUUGCGAAUCAACAUCCUUAUUUUAUCCUAUCAGCCAUUGUCUUCAAUUCCUUAGCCUUUUUCAUAUCCGUAGCAUUGAUGAUGAUUCUUUUCAGCGCGCUUCCGCUCUGGCCACUGUCCCUAGUUUCUGCAUUCUCAAUGGCCGCCGCUUACAUUUGCGCAAUGUCGGACACUUUGAAGCCUCUCUUGUCAAGCUCAUCCCUUGUCAAUCCUCUCAGAUAAUACAUUGCAUGUCUUUGGUGUUUGACGUUUUAGUAUUUGUAGCAGAUAUAUAUAUUUCCAUUUAAUUAUGUUAUGUUAUCUUUAUCUUUAACCUCAUAUUGUUGAGUGUGAUUUAAAAAUCUCACGAUGUUCAAUCAUUUGAAUUGAAACGAUAUCUAAUCUAUCAUGAAAUGAGAUUUGUUUGACAUAGUGAUUCACAACUACCAUAUCAAACUUAGACCUAUGUAUUCCCGCCUUUAUGUCGAGUAAGCUGGAUUUUAUCUUACAAUAUUUCUGUUUACACUACCUAACUAUGUCAAUUAUCAUAUUAACAUUUACAGAAGCGAAUGUUCGCAUGUUCUAAAAAGCGAAUUCGGUACAAUAUUAUAAGAAAAAAUUUAUUAUGUUGUAAACUAAUGAAUCAUUUCACAACAUUAUAAAAAUCUUUUACAGCAUUGUAAAAUCUUAAAUCUAUAUUUUAAAAAAUGUGAACAUCUUCACGAAAGAACGACUCUCUUAUCAUAUAUCAAUAAAAGUUCAUCCACAACUAUUUUGAAAAAGUGAAUAAAGAUUGAUGAAGCCUGAGAAAUUAUUUUGUAACAGUCCCAAUUUUAUAAUGAAAAUUCUCCUUUUUAGCCUAGAGAAGAAUUAUGGCGAACAUGACUCUACUUGUAUUUUGUUUGGACUGAUAACUAACACAUGAAUAAUAUAGCUGGGUUUAUUCACGCUGCAAUUUGGUUUGUUUCUGCAUAAUCAAAUAAAUCAACAUAGCUUUCCCAAAUUUGACAAUGCCACCGUCCAAUCAGAAAGCAUGGCGUUUUUUAGUAUGAUUUUUAAAGAAACAAAUGUUGUCUCUACUUUUUUGUUCGUUUUUGCAUCGCGUGGUUUGAGGAAUGGCUAUUUGUUGCGUAGCCAAGAAGAUGAGAAGUGAGUUUAGUGCUAUAGAAAAACUAUAAAAGACGGAUUUGCUGAGGAUCCGAGAGAGACGUCUGAACCUCACAACCUUGAUACAUGCAGUCGUGGACUGGGAAAGAUAUCAUAAGUCAUAACUUGUGUAACUUUCUUUGAAGCUUCGCAAAUAACUUUUUUUCGCCAGGUUACUUGCGCAUUUCCUUCUGCAUUGCCGCGUCUUCACCUCACUUACGAAGGCCUUUGGAAAUUACACGGUAAGUGUGAGAAUUUUGAUACAUUCUUGCGUGUGGGCCCUUCAAUAUAAUUUCCAAGAUGCUUCCAAAAUUCAAUGGGAUGUUUAUGCAAUAACUUGAUAAUUUCCUCCUGCAUUCCUGCUUUUCGCCUUAACGUGGGUCUUGGAAUUUUGGAUUGGAAUUUGGAAAUUACACGUACACACGGUCACGGUGUUGACCUACAUCCAUCAAGAAUCCCUCGUUACUCAAGUCAUUGAGGGUAGUGUUGUUGGUCAACUCGAGAGUUCAUGUGUUUAUUUUAAGUCAUUUUUAUGUUUUUACUCAGUUGUUGUGAAUAUAAUUUGUGCUCACAAUUACCUAAGAUAAAGUAAGAGUAGUGAAUAAGAUUUCUCAUCUCCAACCAAAACCUAUUAUUGACCCCCAAAAAAAAAAAAAAGGCUAGUAACACAACAAGGUUGGAGAACGAAAACUCUUUACUGAUGUUGACCCGUUAUCAGUCAGUUACGCUAAUGUAGGGCUGGGCAUUCAAUUUGGCCAAUAAAAACCGAAUGGUUAAAAAAAUAUGAACCAAUCAGUUUUUGAUUUUUCAAUCGAACUAAGCCGAAAACCGAUUGAUUCAGUGUUAAAAUAAAAUAAAAAUAAAAAUAAAAAUGGAUGUGUUAUUGACGCAGUAGGUUAUUAGAAUAUUUUAUGAUAUUAUGAUAUUUUUAUUUUAAUUAGCAUCUUAUUAGCUAGGUGUUUAUAUAUAUAUAUAUUAUUUCUAGUUUAAUUGUGAUUCAGUUUUCUUAUUUGAGUUAUAUAGGGAAGUAGAUUUUUACUUAUUAUAAAUAAAGAGGUCUUGUCAUUAUUAAUAUAAUUCAGUUAUUCAAUAAAUUCUCUACAUUUUGUUCCCUUGAUGGGUUCAUUAUCCUUAUCCUUAACCUCACAUUGUUGAGUGUUAUUUAAAAAUCUCAUGAUGUUGAGUCAUUUGGAGUAGAACGAUAUCUACUCUAUCACGAUGUCGAGUCAUUUGGAUUAGAACGAUAUUUUAUUCAUCAUGAAGUCGGAUUCAUUUGACAGAGUGAUUCACAAACACCACAUCAAACUUAGACCUAUGCAUUCACAUCUUUGUGCUGAGUGAGUGAGGUUUAUCUUAAAGUAUUUCUGCUUAUACUAUCCCACUUGUUAGUUAUCAUAUAAUUUUUUUCAAAUGCAAAUGUUUGAAUUUUUAAAAGUGCGAAUUUGAGGUUUUACAACAUUGUAAACUACUCAAUUAUUUUACAAUGUUGUAAAAUCAUGAAUCAGCAUUUUAAAAAAUACAGACAUCCUCACUAGAGAUGGACUCAAUUAUCAUAGAUCAAUAAAAGUUCAUCUACAGUUAUUUUUAAAAAAGCAAAUAAAGAUUGAUGAAGCCAGAGAAAUUAUCAAGCUUUGAGAUUUUGUAACCGUCCCAAUUUUAUAAUGAAAGUUCCCCUUUUUAGCCAGAGACAUACAGAAUCUGCUUGUAUUUUGUUUGGACUGAUAGCUAACACAUGAAUUAUUGAUGCUGCAGUGUGGUUUGUUUCUACACUAUCAAAUGAAUCAUACGUUGCUUUGCCAUAUUUGACAAUGCUACAGUCCCGAAUGUAAUCAGAAAGUACGGUAUUUUUCACGUUUGAUUUCUAAAGAAACAAAUUUUCACUCUAGUUUUUUGGUCCAUUUUUGGAUUAUAUAGUAUGAGAAAUGGCUAUUUGUUGCGGAGCAACAUAUCGAUCAGGAAGAAUCAUGAGAAGUGAGUUUAGUGCUAAACAAAAAAUAUAAAAGAUGGGCCUUGUGGAGGAUCUGAGAGAGAGACAUCUCUGGGCCCCCACAACAUAGAUCGAUUUAAGAUCUUGACACGCGUGCAGUCGUAACACUAGCCAUCUGGUCGUUACUCUACAAAAAAUACCAUAACUUGUGUAACUUUCUCUAAAGUUUCCCAAAUAACUUUGGUUCUCCGGGUUACCAGCGCAUUUCCUUCUGCAUUGCCGCGUCUUCACCUUACUUACGCCGACUUUUGGAAAUUUUGAUUGGAAAUUACAUGAUAAGUGUAAGGAUAUAAUUGUUUCUUUGUCUGAAAUCUUAAUUUGACUUAAUUUAAGAUGUUUUGAUAUUAUAAUUUUUUUUUUGUUUUUAUAACUGAAGUCUUAUUGUAAGAUAUUUUUAUCUGAAUAGAAAAAAUAAAUUUUUUCUAAUUUUUACUCAAAUGAUAAAAUAUCUGAAUAAAAAAUUAUUUUUUUCUCACAAAUACACUCAUUAAAUGUAUUUAUUGCCUACCUAACUAUUAGAUAUCAUAUUAGAAUUUUCCUUGUUCUCAAAUCUUACUUGGUAUUAAAUACUUAACAUAAAUUCAAUUUGAAUUUUAAACAAAUUUUUAUUAUUAUUAGAUAACAAUUUUUUAUGUAUAAUAUUAUGUUAAAUUGCAAAAAAUGAUGUUAUCAAAAUUAUUUUUCAUAAAUUAUAUAUCAAAUUCUUAUGUUAUAAAUAUUCAUAACAUAUAAAAAUUAUUGUACUGUAAACAUACACAUAUUUAAACUUCAUGCAUAUAUAAUACUUUCAAAGUCAUAAGUGAAAAAAACAACUUAGAUUUAAGAUAUUUUGAGUUUAUAAAAACAAACAACUUAUAACUUACGUUCAGACAUUAAGAAAUAAAAAACAAACAUUUUAUUCUGACAUGUGCAUUUAGACUCAUUUAGAUUUAAGUAACAUAAAGACCAAUUCAUAAACGAGAUGUAUGCUAUAACUUGAGAGUUUCCUCCUGCAUUCCCGCUUUUUGCCUUAACGUGGGUCUUGGAAUUUUGGAUUGGAAUUUGGAAAUUACACGUACACGGUUACGGUGUGUCGAAGAAAAAUGACAAACCUAUAAAGGCAUUUUUGUUAGACAGCUUGGCCAAGAGUGCACUAAACAAAAUUGUGCUAGGAUAAAUUAGAAAUGUUCAAUAAAAUUAUAUUUGGUGUUGUCUUAUUAAACAAUGAAAAAAAAAUUAGUAAACAAAUUAGAUUAGCCACCACAGACAAUUAUAGGUGUCCAUUUAAAGCAAAUUUAGUAAUAUUAGAAACUUAGAACCUUUAUCAUUUAAAGCAAAUUUAGUAUUGUUAGAAUUUUUAUGGGUGAUUGAUCAACGCAAUUAUAUAAAUAUAAUCAUUAUAUGACCUAUCAUAAAAUUCUAUAGAAUGAAUAUUUGUUUACUUCAUAUAUUUUUGUAAAACAUUGAUGCGUUGGCCUGUAUCGCCAUAAAAAAUUGCUCGUUACUGAAGUUAUUAGGGGUAGAGUUGUUAGUCGACUCGAGAGUUCGUAUGUUUAUUUUAAGUUAUUUUUAUGUUUUUACUUAGUUGUUGUGAAUAUAAGUUGUGCUCACAAUUAUCUAAAAUAACGAAAGAAUAGUGAAUAAGAUUACUCAUUUCCAUCCAAAAUCUAUUAUUAAAAAAAAAGGCUAGAGAGCAACAAGGUUGGAUAAGUAGAACAAACGAUGCGAAUAUUCUUUAUUGAAUGUUGAAACGUUAUCAAUAAGUAACCCUAAAGCAUAGAUAGUGCUAUGAAUUAAGUUUAAACUCUCUCCAAAUUAAGAGAUUUGCUGAUGUCACUAGCUAUCUCUUCCAAACUUUACCUCAAACCCAAGAUUAUGCCGGCAGGUGCCUUCUUAAAGAGUCAAAGUCAUCUCUUCUUUUAUCAUCAGUAAGUUUUAUUUCGAAUGUAUGUUUGAAUCCUUGUAGAGAGCUUCUGUUGGUUAUUUUUUACUUAUUUGCUAUUGAUGCCAAUGUGCAAGUGUAAUAACAAGUAAUAAAGUGAUGAAUAUUCGAGAUCGUCUCUACAUGAAUUGAUGUUACUAGAAAGACUAUAACAAUCACGAUAAUGCAAACUUCCUUUGUCCCAAAAAGAUUCUAAUUAAAAGUGAAUUACUACUAAAAUAGACAAUAAAAGAAAAAUAAAACAAAUCAAUGCAGUAAUAAAACAAAUUAAAUGAAUUGUGUAAGAAGAUUUCAAUGGGAAUAAGGUAGCUAAGUGAUCAAACUCUCUUCAUGGAUUGACUGUUUUGUCUAAAUUAAUCCCAGUUGCUACAGCAAUUCCUAUAGCACUGGACAUAAUUAUUUUGCAUCCUCAGCUGUCGCUUAUCAGAUUUCUCAUACCCUUAAGCACCUUAACAAUGACCAGUUGUUAACCCACCUAUGGUAUGACAUUAUGAGCAUACACUCUUUCUACCUUACAAGAUGAAUUCCUAUGUAUAAUUUUUUACAAAUCUUAACUCAAAUGUAACCCUUUUUGGACUUAAGUAAUCUUAGUCCAGGAAACUUAAAUUAAGAUCACUCUAAUAAUUUCCACUAAGACAUACCCUUUUGUGGCUCUAUCUUAACUUGAACCAUUAAAUGGGUGAUCAACCGAAAUAAUGAUUUUAAUAAUAGCUAUUAGAGUAAAAUGCUAUAGCAAUCUUGCAGGAACUUAUAAGAACAAUCAAAAACCCAUUUAGAUUGUUUGUCACUUAGCUACAAUCAAAUUUAGUUCAUACUUUGAAAAAGAAAAACAAAUAGAAAAAUAUUGAUCAUGAAAUAUAUCAGUUCAAUCAAAGAGUAAGGAAGGGAACAAGUAAAGAAUGAUGACAAAUUGAAUCCAAGUAAUUCUACUGAAUUCUUCAUUGGUGCAGACUUAUUUUCCUUGAAUUUUGAUUCUCCCCUCCUUUUCCUCUCGAUUUCUUUGAUGUUAAUUCUCCGCCACCUUUUCAUGUGAUGCACGCUCUUUUUAUAAUUGAAAACUAGGGUAAACAGAAGCCUAAGGCACGCAUGAGUCGAAUUAGGAAACUGCAAAUCGCAAUUCUGCAGAUGUCUCGCCCUAAGUUUUCUCUAUAGUUGUUCUAGGAUUGCUACAGCAAUGGUUGCUCUAGCAACGGCUAUAGCACUGCACUGCUCUGAAUUUUGUUUCAAUUCUUUUGUGGCCAUAUUCUUCCUCCUUUUUGCCAGCCUAUUGCAUCGACAUUCCUUCCAUGAAUUAUAAGCUUCUGGAAACCUACAAUUAUGCACACAAUUUGAGUACAAAUUACUUUAAAUUAAGCAAAACUUAUUAAGACUAAACUAAAAUGAAUUAUUAUGCAAAAUAUAACAAAAAUGUAAUGAAAACACCUUAUUUACUCUCUAAGUGAUCUUGAUUUAAGUGUAGAAUUGCCAUAAUAACUCUCAUUUCAUAGAGUUAUCAACUUCCAAACCCUUGAGGAAGCAAUAAAAUCAUCAUAUCUUUACUCUCCAAUCAUUAAAAUCAUUUUCCCUAUUCAAUGAACUUAGUUGCUGCCAUUACUUGGAUAAAUCAAAGAGAGAACAUUGCGCACUUUCAUACCAGCCACUUCCAGCGAUUAAGUCGGUAAUCAGAUCCUAUGUAAUUACUCCGGAGAUCAGUUUGAUUAAUGAAAAGGAAAAAGGAAGAAAGAAAUCAAGAAAUCUAAUAAAUCGAGUAACAAUUUGAGAUAAAAACAAGUGACACAAAGAUUUAUGUUGUUAUGCCAAUAUAGGCCUAAUGCAUAGAAGAAACCCACUCAAUAAAUUUGUAUAUUUUCCAGGAAAAAAUUAGGAAAACGAGAAGAAUAAAGCUAUUUUCACUUAGUGAAUCCACUAAGCAACGUUUGUAACUUAUUUUUACAAAAAGGAAAAGAAUCAAAUUGAACUCUAUCCUCAAAUUGAACUAGCCUCUAAAUCUUCAACAGUAUUGUUGCUCCACCAAUUUGCUUUUUUCAUGGACAGCCAGACAAUGAAUCGCCAAAGGGAUGAAGUGUAUUUCCCCCGCAUACUCAGUAUAGAGAUUCCUGAGAGACAAAGGGCUGCGACUAGUGACCACAUCAAAGCAAUGCUUGAAACGCUGAAUUUCCCAACACUUACACUGAACUCAGGCGUGACCUCAUCCACAAACAUAACAUAAACAACACAUGUGCAGAUCACAAGAAAGAGGAGGAUUGUUCUAAGUUGUAGCGGCCAUACAAGUAUGGUAAUUGCAGCCAUAGUAGUAAUAAACACAGCCGAAUUGAAAACCAUCAGGUAGACAACCGCUGGUAACUUACCGGAUAUAACAUCCUUAGCAUCAAAUUUUUCACCUGCAAAAUAUAUACAUAUAAUCUUCCAUGAGAAAGGAAGCAGGCAAACUGCAAGAUUCUGUUAAAAAGAAGUUGCCCUUAUGUAGAUAUAAUAAUUUUACAAUAAAGAAAUGUCAUAUCUUAAUAAAAUAAGGACAAGUAAAAGACCCCAAAAAAAAGAAGAAGUAUAGACUUUAGUGUAAUGUAUUUUGUCAUAAGCAUUCCUUUAAGAUAAAAUUUUUCUCCAUAAAUAAGUUUAAUUUAGCUUGAGGAUGAUUUCCUUUAACAAAGCCAUUUGGCAAAUCAUAGGCUGCGGUGAAAAAAGCUGUAGCAAUCAUUCCUAGGACCAUCAAUAUUACGUUUCUUGUCUCUAUCGGAAACAGUGUGAAAUUCCAGGAGCCACUAGUGGUAUUGGUGGGUAGUUCUGAAAAAUGAGUACUUUGUUGCUGAGCAGCAGCCCUUUCAAGGAUCGAGCCAAUUUCUUUGGAAACACUAUCUUGAGAAUUGGCAUUGCAUAUAUCCAAGGCUGUCUGUCCUUGAUUGUUCUUGGAAUUGAUUUGAAUUUUGUGACUGUAGGAACUCUCAAGAAGUAGAUUCACAAUCUGCAAUUAUUAAACAUCAUAAAGAGGCAGAAGCCUGAACAGAGUGGGGAAGUAGGAUUUUAGUUGAGGGAGUCGUCACAAAAAUACCCAAGACUUAAUUUGAAUAGAAUAUAAAUAUUAUUUUGUUAUUUAAGUUAUGGCUCUCGAUGAAUAGUGCACCUACCCACACAAAAUUUCCCAAUGAUUGCGACAACCUUACUUUAAUAAAAUGAGGAUGCUACUCUUAAACGAAAAAAUAAAGAUAUCAAUGCACUAAAAGAUAAUAAAACUUGAUUUUAACGUAUUAAUUUUGUUUUUUUAUAUUUUAGUGACAUUCUCACUUUAACAAAGUAAGGAUAUUCAUUUUUUUCUUUUGGCCUUGGCAAUUGAGGCAGCUAUCAAUUUAAGCCCCUAAAUUGUUGAAUAAUUGAAGUUUAUUUUUAAAAAUUUAUUAAUUAAUAUUAAGUAAAUUUUAUUACAUAUUUGCAUACUCCUAAUAUAAAGUCCUCUAAAUUAAUCUUUCCUAAAGAAAUCUUUUUAUUUUUUAUUUUUCAAAUGAAAUCUUAUAAACAACUUUCCCUCAUUUAAACUAAUUCUUUUUUUCCCUUACCUUUCUAUUUUUUUUUUAAUAAAGAGGCUUUGAAACAAAAUUUUCGCCUCAAAUUCUCUAGAGUUGACACUAGCUAGCUACUGGCCUCCUCAAUCUUAUAGAUAUUAUGUUUAUCAUGAUCUACCUAAGACUAUGGUUAAUUUCUCCAUGUACAAAUUAAUUGGUAAUCAAAAGUCUUGUGUGUCUUUGCGACAGUGUGAGAGACAUCAGGGAGAGCUUACCACGAUUAAUUUGUUCAGCGCAGCAAGAUGCAGAAUACUGUUGCCCUCCUUAUCUGUCGCAUUGAAGAGAUGCUCCAGGUUAUGUCUCUUUGUCUCCUUCAUCAAGAUUUUAAAAGCAUCGAUUUGAGAAUUCUUCACUGCAAGGAUAAGAGCUGUCUCGUCAUUGGAAGUCAGCUUUGCAAGGGAUUCCGAGCUUGCUAUUUCCGUAAUCACGCCAGCAUCACCAUUGACAGCUGCUCUGUGUAGCGGCGUCAUCAACCCGUUGUCUUCUACAACAGGACGAGAUUCGGGAUCAAGCUUUCCGAGAAAAUGAACCACCUCACCAUCCCCUUCCACGGGGCCUCUGUGCAUUUCUGUGCAACCAUCAUUUUCCUGAAUAUUGUCCUUUUUUGCUAACUCUAUCAAUUCAUUAGACAUGAUUGACACUGAAUCUGCGUAAUUCUUCUCUCUGGCGUCCUCUUUAACAGUGGGACAGAGUGGGACAGCGCAGGAAGGAAGUUUCCCUUUUCUUCGCUUUUUUUCCCCCCUUUUUUAUAGAAAAUUUCCAUGAAGUUUAACAUGGUGAUAUUUCUCUAAGCACACGUACGAGAAAGAUCGGAAUUCGGAAACGUAGCGCUGCAUCACAUGAAUAUUAUACGUACCCCUGCAUCCCAUCAAUAUCAUAGAAAGAUCGGAAGAAAGCUUCCUUUCAGUAAUUUUGAUGGGAUGCAGGGGUCAGCAUAUGGGAAUGCUCCUACAUUGCACAAAGACGUCCUGUAAGUCAUCAUAAAUUCAUAUUUUUGCCUACGAAUUUUAUGCCCUAUUUGGAAUCGAGGUCAAAAGGUUAUAAGCGGUUUAUCGCAUAAAUUUUAAUAAAAAAGGGUACUUGGAAAAUUUUUUAAAAGCUAUAUAUUUGACAAUUUUUUCCACUUUGAUUCCAGUUUUUAAAAGUAAGGGAUUAUUUUUUAUUAGUAGCUUAUUAAAUAAGUCAUCAUAUAUACUUUUAAAGUUCUUAUUACAAAUUUAAUAUUUUAACAAAAAAAUAAUUUAUCUUAUUUUUUCAUAAACCCUAAUAUACAAAUAAAUUUUUUUUUUAACUUAUGGCUAUUUUGAGCAUCAUAUAAAACACUAAACUAUUUUCUAAAUCAGUAGUUUGUUUCUUCUAUACAACAAAAGUAACUUAUUUUAUUAGCUUAAACUGGCCGUUAAUCAAUAAGUUUACAGUACAACAUACACAAUUGAGUGAUGAAGAUGAGGGGUCCACCUAUUUCUAAAUUAAAAAAAAUGUUUUUUUAAUUUCAACUUUCGAGCUUGCGGACAAUAGGGGAAAUUUAUCAUGUUGUAAUUUUGAACAAUGAUUUAAGAAAAAAUUGAAAAUUAAUCAAAAAUUUUGUUCUUUUGUAAAUUUUGUGAUUUUGUUUUUUAAAGUAAAAUAAUUAAAAAUUCAUAAAAUCAAAGAUAAACAAAGGGUUGGAGACUUGGAGAGACAAGUACUAGGUGAGGAUUCUGUUGAUGCGAGAUUCUGGUUCUCCUCUGCCUACGACCAGGAUCUCUGCUCGAUCAACUUCACCACGACCAGGAGGUCUCCGCGUAAGGCUUCUUCCCCGGAGGUUCCUGCGCACACAGACAAGUCAGAGUACGCCGGUUGUUUUCCCGGCGCAAACCCUCCGACGCUCAAGUCAGAUAUGAAGGUUCGGGGAACGCUUGCCACAAAUCUUAUGGCUCUUAGAUUGUUUUCUCUCUUUUAGAAUCAAAAUUGCUAACCCUUUUACCUUCGUUGGCUACCUUUUUAUAGGCUUCCUCUGAAUCCCAGUUUUCCGCUCUUUUCGAGACGGUCUGGGGCUCUGACUGCUGCGUUAUGGGCAAACGGGGGAUCUUGCGUGUUACGCCAUGGUUCAGGGGAAAGCGUGGCUGUCGUGGUUCUGCGAGAUCUUGCGUGUUACGUCACGGUUCAGGGGAAAGCGUGGCUGUCGUGGUUCUGUGGGAUCUUGCGUGUUACGCCAUGGUUCAGGGGAAAGCGUGGCUGUCGUGGUUCUGCGAGAUCUUGCGUGUUACGUCACGGUUCAGGGGAAAGCGUGGCUGUCGUGGUUCUGUGGGAUCUUGCGUGUUACGCCACGGUUCAGGGGAAAGCGUGGCUGUCGUGCCUAGAUUCUCGGGCUGGAGAGCAUGUCUUGCCAACUGCCGUCGACCGGGUCUCCUCGCCUAUCGACCUCUAGCCGGAAUGGCCGUAUACCUCUUAUAGGGAAUUGGCCUCGCGGAUGACAACAUCGUGGACGAGCAGGAUAUUUCUGCUCCUGUUCCUCCGCGCACCAGGCUUUUACGGAACACACCGGUUCGCAGGACUCUGCCAUCAGAUAUCUGCUCGUCAUAUCUGCUCGUCAUAUCUGCUCGUCAUUCCUGGUCUCGUCGACGUAUUUCUCCCAAACAGUAUCUCUCCCAAACACCGGUCCCCCAGUUUCUGGUGUUGGGUAAUGUAGUGGACCAGCAGUGGAAACUCGACGGUUUUUGCUCGCGUGGGACUGGAAAAGGCUGCCAAGAGUCGUGUCGCAUUUAAUUGCGGAUGCGGUGAUGUGGCGGAAAUCUACCCCUCCAUUUGAAUUUCAAACCUACGGUUGCGAGAUUCUCGGAAUAUUCGUCAUUGAAUGCUGGCAGCCCAAGAGUUUGCUUCUCAGUAAGAAAACCCAAAAUCUUCAAACACGAACUCGUCAUUUUCUCCAUUCUUGUCUCUCCGGCGAAUGAACCUCGGCACCAAAGCUGUCAUCCCUGUCUCUCUCUGACCGAGUCCCUGCUUUAGGUAUUUCUUCUAUUUUCUCGGUAUUGGUUAGUUGUAGGUAAUUUCCUUUCUCUCUGCUUUGCUUGAGGUUGUAAUUGGCGGUGGUGUUUUGGUUAGAACUUAGGAUAUGUCGAAGGGUAAGGAGAAAGUCGUUGAGGUUGGUGACGACGAACUAGGUUUUUUGCCUAGUCUGCCCGCUGAUUCUGCUUUUGACCCCGGGGCCCCCUUAGAACCCACUAGGUCUAGUGUCGGGACUAGCGCUAGGAGGAUGUCCCCCCAAACGACCUCCACGAGCGGAAGUAGUGGUGAAGAGGGAUCUUCUGGCUCCGGAGGCACCUUGAGUGAGAAGGGGGAAGGUGAUUCUGGUGAGGUGUCUCCAUCUGGAACAUCACGACCAGAAGAACGGGGUACAGUAGGAGGUAGAGCCUUGUCGCGUGAUUAUGCCAUUGAUUACAUGUCGUGUACGACCACGUUUGACGAGCUCAAUGACCUCCGACUUAGGUAUAGUAUUCCUGGUGAGAUACCUCUUAAGAUCCCAGGAAAGAAGGAUACACCUAGCCGGCCUCCUAGGGGAUACGUUACCCUGUAUCUGGAGAGCUUUAAGUAUGGGCUGAGGUGUCCCUUGCAGCCUUACUUUGCCCGGAUACUUAACGGCCUAAAUCUGGCUCCUGGUCAGCUGAACCCCAACGGGUGGAGAGUGCUCUCUGGUCUGUUCAUAUUGUGGGACAGAUGUUGCCAAAGCGAGCCCACGGUUGAUGAGGUGAAGCACCUGUACCAGCUGAAGAGCAGCCCUAAAGAUGCCGGCUGGUACUACUUCCAAUCUGGUACCAAGAGCAGGAAAACCAUAACUGAUCUUCCAACUGGUGGUGGUGGGACUUGGAAGAGGAAAUUCUUUUUUGCUGGGGGUCCUUGGGGUCAAGUUGCACAAAUAGACGGGAAGGAUUGUCGCGUCCCACCCCGUUUCACGGUCCCAGGUUGCCUGCUCGCUUUAGAUGUCUUGUAUCCAUAAUUGUUCUUGCUGUAUUGGUUUGUCUCUAACCAAGUGUCUGUUUGUGCUGUAGUUUCCUGGGGUGUUCACUUCCCGCUCCGACCUGGUCAGCUUAAACGGGUCGAGGCUGUACUGGCCAAUUCCUGCUCGAGCUGAGAACUGCUAUCUACAUACAACUUCCUCGAAUCUCGGUUGAUACUUCCUGGCCAUAAGAUGGAGGACGCAGUGAUUGGAGCUCUGACCAGGAAACGCUCUCGGCCUCCAACAACCGAUAGGGACCAGGACAAAGAUGCUCCCGCUGCGAAGCGAAAGAACAUGCGAAAGAACAUCGUGCAGCAGGUUCCUCCCUCCUGCCUCUGCUAAAGUCGGGGAAUCCAGUGGAGCAGCCACUGAUCCUGCUUCCUCUUCUCCACCUGUUGUGCCUCGGUCUCGCUUACCCGACAGCCGACCAGAACACUUGGUUCCCUAUCUCAAUGAGUUGUCUAAACUCGUGAGCAAGAAGGACCUGGAGGGCUUUGACGGUUGUACCCUGGGCGAGCUGGUGGGAGCCAUGCAGUAUAGCGCUUUCCAUCUCAGCUGCAUGGCCACCUACUAUAAGGCCAAGGUAGGCCGUUACGACAGGAAGAUGAAGGAGGACAUUCAAUCGGCGACGACCAGAGCUGACGUUGCCGAGAAAAAAGCGGGGGAGCUAAACGUUGAGAACCUCAAGCUGAUAGAGCAAGAGUCUCUUGCUCAAGCAAAAGCCAUUACCCUCGAGGAGGAGCUGACCAAGGUUAAGGAGGAUCUCCAAGGGCAGAGGGCUAUGUAUGAGGCUCAGCUCGAAUCUCUCCGCGAUUCCCACCGAGCUCAUGUAGAGAACUUGGAGAGGGAGGCCGACAACCAGUACGACCAGGGACUUCGGCAUUCCUAUCGUUGUAUCACGGCCGUCCUCGGAAAGCAACACCCUGAUCUGAAAAUGGAUGACCUUGCAGCUGGUGUUGCUCAACAUAUGGACGAGGAGGCGGCCAAGGAAGAUGCCGAAGGGGUAGAGCCGAUCGUGAUUGAUGAGGGAGACUCUCCUCCUCGUGCAGUCCCUGCUGAUGUUGGGGAGGCGAGCGCCCCUCUGGAUGCAACUGGUGAUACUCCUCCUGCACCUGAGGAGGUCCAGCCAACCGACGCUGCUGGGCUUACUGAUCCACGACCUUCCUGAUAUGUUUCUUGUAUUGUAAUGAACAAUGUUUGUGAAGAUUAUCUGCUUUGUUAAUUAUUAACAAAUUAAUAGAAAUGUUUUUGAUUACUCUCUUGUGUGGUAAUUAUGAGAGCCUGCUCGUCUUCGUCUGGUCGAGCUGGCUAUGGCUUGGUAUAUGGUUUCGCCACCUGCCUUAGAAAAUUUUCCGAUGUUCGGGAUUCUGCUCGCCUUUACGCGGUCGAGCAGAUCCCGCCAUGCUUGGCUUCUGUCUCGCCAUAAGACAGGCUUUGAGACUCGGUGAGCCUUUGCGUGCCUUGGGUUUUUCGAGGAUUGGGAUUCUGCUGCCUUCUCGUGGCCGAGCAGAUCCUGGCACGCUUGGCUUCUGUCUCGCCAUAAGACAGGCUUUGAGACUUGGUGAGCCUUUGCGUGCCUUGGAUUUUUCGAGGAUUGGGAUUCUGCUGCCUUCUCGUGGCCGAGCAGAUCCUGGCACGCUUGGCUUCUGUCUCGCCAUAAGACAGGCUUUGAGACUUGGUGAGCCUUUGCGUGCCUUGGAUUUUUCGAGGAUUGGGAUUCUGCUGCCUUCUCGUGGCCGAGCAGAUCCUGGCACGCUUGGCUUCUGUCUCGCCAUAAGACAGGCUUUGAGACUUGGUGAUCAUGUCAUCCACGUACACCUCCAUGGUUCUCCCAAUCAACGGCUUAAAGACUUUGUUCACCAGCCUUUGAUAGGUGGCCCCAGCAUUUUUGAGACCGAAUGGCAUUACCCUGUAACAGAACAAACCUUGGUUAGUGAUGAAAGCCGUGCUCUCCUAAUCCUGCUCGUGCAUGGGGAUCUGGUUGUAUCCCGAGAACGCGUCCAUGAAGCUAAGCAGACCGUGCCCAGCCGUUGAGUCUACUAACUGAUCGAUCUUGGGCAAAGGGAAGCUGUCUUUCGGGCACGCCUUAUUGAGGUCUGUGAAAUCCACACACAUCCUCCACUUGCUGUUUGCCUUCUUUACCAACACUACAUUCGAUAUCCACUCAGGGUAACUGACUUCCCGAAUGAACCCUGCUCCCAGGAGCUUCUCCACCUCGCCAUUUAUAGCCUCAUACCUCUCCUGGUUGAAGCACCUCCUCUUCUGCCUUACUGCCCGAGCACCUUUCUUUAUUGUCAACUUAUGACAUGCUACCUCAGGGUCAAUCCCUGGCAUGUCUUCAUGUGUCCAAGCAAACACGUCAGCAUGAGCCUGUAAGCAUUUCACCAACUCCUGCUUUCGCUCUCCCUUAAGUCUCGACCCGAUUCUGAUCGUCUUUCCCGGGUUCUCUGGCCCCAGGCUUACGGUUUCCAGAUCCUCUACAGGCUCUUGUCUGCCGUUCUUGUUUUCCACUCGGGUAUCGAGGGAUGUUAUCUGCAUUGCUUCCCUUGCUGCCGAGGAGUAGCAGCUUCUCGCGAUCCUCUGGUCUCCUCGUACCACUCCUACUACCCCAUUCACCCGGUACUUCAGAGCCAGAUAAUGGUUGGACAACACCGCUUUGCUCAUCCUUAAAAAUGGCCGACCUAGGAUCAUCUGGUAAGGACCUUCCUCAUCCACUACGACAAAGUCCAGCAUUAUUGUCCUUUCUGUCGGGGAACUCCCAAUUGUGAUAGGCAGUUCGACCACGCCCAGCGGGACCAGCUUCCCUCCUCCGAACCCCUUCAAGGAGGUGUUGGUGUAUUCCAACUUCCGGUCGGCUAUUCCCAUCUCUUCCAGGGUUGACUUGAAUAACACAUCAACUGAGCUCCCUGUAUCAAUCAAUAUCCGGUCGAAUUUCUUGCUGGCAACAGUAGCCUUGAUGACUAAAGCGUCCUCGUGGGGGUAUAGAACCCCUUUCUCAUCCUCAUCCGUCCACAUGAUUGGCACUUGCCUGACCCUUGCUCGUUUGGCUGCUGGGGUGUUGAAGAGUAUCUCUUUACUGGUCAUGGCGUACCUAGCAUAAUUUUUUCUGGAUCUGUUGGAAUCUCCGGCCAAUGUCGGACCCCCAGCUAUCACCCUUACUGCGGGCUGCUCGCGCCUCAGGUCUCUAUCACUCUGCUCCCCUUCACCUGCUGUCGCCACCGUCAGGAAAGUCCCAUCCAUAAACUCGUCUAGGUACCGAUUUCUCACCAGAUCUUCGACCUGGGUCUUGAGAUCUCUACACUCUGCUGUGGUAUGGCCAUGGGUGCCAUGGAACUUACAAUAACGUCCUCUAUCCCUCCUGUUGGGUAGCUUUGUUAUUGGUGUGAGGAGGUGCAGCAGCCCCCGAUCCUUUAUGGCCUCGUACACCUCAUCCAGGGACAUCUUCAAGGAAGUGUACCGCCCAUAGUCCUGGUCCUGGUCGAUCAGGUGCACUGCUCUUUCUCUGUUUGCCCCGCUCUGAGUCGGGGGCGGUGGAAGCACUUCUGGUCUGCUCGCUCUGCUACCGUGGGAAUAUCGAUGAAGACCAGCAGAUGUCGAAUCAUGCCUUCUCCAAGGCUCCCUAGCUGGGGAACGAGGAGGUUGCGCCCUGCUGCGCUGAUACUGUGGUGGCCUCUGAUGAGGCUGGUAAGCAGUUACCCGACCUCCUGCUCCACUACCGGAGGCCUGGUGGUCCCUCCUCCUAAUCGGUCUAUUCCCCGGUAAUGCUUUCUUCUCUUUCCUCCCCGACCCUUCUAACUGGUCUGUCUUAAUCCGUGCAGCCUUCUCCUCUUCAAUCUCGAUGUCUCUCUUAGCCUGCUCGUAUGCGGCUUCGUACGUUUGAAUGGCUGGGCUUCUCAAAUUGUACCACAGCCUUCCUAUCUUCACCCCGUCUUUCAACCCCCUUAACGCCUGAGGGUGGUUGAAGGCUCCCAAAUCGAGGACAGCCCGAUGAAACCUCUUGAUGAAUUCCCGAAGGGUUUCUUGCUCCCCCUGUUUCAUGCUUUUCAGCUCCAUCAUGUCAUCCUCUGGUGCCAUUGCCCCACUAAACUGCUCGGCGAAUUCCUGGCACAUCUGCUCGAAGGUUUUAACGCUGCCCCGAGGAAGUUUCCUGUACCAUUCUCGUGCACGUCCCUCAAGGGAUAGUGGGAACUCCCUGCACCUUUGGGAUUGAGAUAAUCCUUGUACCCCAGUUAUGUCGUUGAAGCGCUCUAUGUGCACCAGCGGGUCAGUUCUUCCCGAGUAUCUGAGGUCUGGGAGGCGGAAAUCUCUCGGAAUAACCGCCCUCAUGAUCUCUGCUGCGAGCGGUGAUUCUCCGUCCAGCAUUAUCCUCCAACCAGGGGCCCUGUUCCUUCCUUGCAUGUCGUCAAUUACCUGCGCUAGUCUGCGCACUUCCUCCUCCAGCUGCCCUGCACGACCAGGGUCACGUGCAACAACUUGAUCCCGCUCUUGCUCUACAUCAUGCAAGUGUUGCCUCAACUCUGUUUCCUCCGCAUUCACCACCCCGUCGGCCUCGUCCGAAAUCUGUCUUGCCGAGGACUGCUCUCUUUCUCUAUGGAAUUCUCCCCGCAGAGGCACGUUACUUCUCUCACCACCAUAUCCCCCGGUGGUUUGACUUCUCCUCGCACUAUCGGGACCCUGUGCCACUCCUCCGCCUCUCACCCUUCCCUCUUGGGUUACCCUUCGCUCGCUCCGCAGCUCAUGCAGGAUGGUUGUCAAGGUCUCCAUCUGUUUUUCCAUCCGUUCCAUCCGGUCGAACAUGACUUUUUCCCGUGCUUCACUGACUAUCUCCCUCAGCGCCACGGGGUCGUGAAGCCUCCUAUCGCCUCCUUGUGCACUACUUCCUCCUGUCUCCAUUGCUUUUCACUUGCUUCACCCCUCUUCUUGCUAUCAACAGAAGCUUUUUGCUCUGUUCCCCACAGACGGCGCCAAAAUGUUGAUGCGAGAUUCUGGUUCUCCUCUGCCUACGACCAGGAUCUCUGCUCGAUCAACUUCACCACGACCAGGAGGUCUCCGCGUAAGGCUUCUUCCCCGGAGGUUCCUGCGCACACAGACAAGUCAGAGUACGCCGGUUGUUUUCCCAGCGCAAACCCUCCGACGCUCAAGUCAGAUAUGAAGGUUCGGGGAACGCUUGCCACAAAUCUUAUGGCUCUUAGAUUGUUUUCUCUCUUUUAGAAUCAAAAUUGCUAACCCUUUUACCUUCGUUGGCUACCUUUUUAUAGGCUUCCUCUGAAUCCCAGUUUUCUGCUCUUUUCGAGACGGUCUGGGGCUCUGACUGCUGCGUUAUGGGCAAACGGGGGAUCUUGCGUGUUACGCCAUAGUUCAGGGGAAAGCGUGGCUGUCGUGGUUCUGCGAGAUCUUGCGUGUUACGUCACGGUUCAGGGGAAAUCGUGGCUGUCGUGGUUCUGUGGGAUCUUGCGUGUUACGCCACGGUUCAGGGGAAAGCGUGGCUGUCGUGCCUAGAUUCUCGGGCUGGAGAGCAUGUCUUGCCAACUGCCGUCGACCGGGUCUCCUCGCCUAUCGACCUCUAGCCGGAAUGGCCGUAUACCUCUUAUAGGGAAUUGGCCUCGCGGAUGACAACAUCGUGGACGAGCAGGAUAUUUCUGCUCUUGUUCCUCCGCGCACCAGGCUUUUACGGAACACACCGGUUCGCAGGACUCUGCCAUCAGAUAUCUGCUCGUCAUAUCUGCUCGUCAUAUCUGCUCGUCAUUCCUGGUCUCGUCGACGUAUUUCUCCCAAACAGUAUCUCUCCCAAACAGAUUCUAAUCCUUCUUGUAGAGAUCAUAAAAAAGUUGAUUUGCAUGUUUUAAAGUUAAUAAAUUAUUUACUUAGUUGGAAUAUUCAUUGAUAUGUGACCAAUGUCAUGAGUAUGAUUAUUUAAUAUUAUAUUAAUUUUUUUACAAUUCAUUCAAUAGAUGACACAUAAGAUGUCUCAUUAUUAAAUAUCUCAAUUGAAUAUCUAAAGUGAAUAAGUAUAUCAUUACUCAAACGAAAAUAAAUAAAUAAAAACUUACAAAUUCUAAUAUGAGAAAAUAAGAUAAUUCUUUUUUAUUUUUAUUUUCACUAAUAUUGGAAAUAGAAAGUGUUAUCUUAUAAAUAACCUUCAAAAUCAGUUCGCAAACAUAUCUGAAUUUUUUUUUUAAAUUACUUUUCUUCUAUCAACAAUAAGUGGUAACUUCCUUUAUGUCCAAUUCUGCGAGCACGUUAGCCCUUGCGGCCCUUUGUAACAGGUACCAUCGUCAUAAGAAGUCUUCAUGACAUCUUUGAAAAAAGAAAAAAAGAAAAACAAAACUUUUUAGAAAUUUAUCUUUUUCUAAAUUUUUUAGUAAAAAAAAAAAUCAUACAUACCCCUUAUUUUUUUCAUCAGUUUUAUAUAAUAAUAGAAUUUUUAUUUUAUUUUCAAAUAUGUUCCUAAUUCAAUUGUGUUUUGUUCCAAUUUGGAAUUAGUGACUUAUUUUAAAAAAUAAUCAAUUAUAUAUUUAUUGAAUAAAUUAAAAACAUUAGGGGACUAAAAUAUUAAUAUUGCUCUCAUGUAUUUUUUUUAAAUAUUUUAAUUAAAAAAAUAUGCCAUUACUUACAAAACAAUAUAUGUUCUCAUAAACUUUUUAUGUGAACUUUUAAAUUUUAGUUAUUUGUUACAUUAAUUAGGAGGAUAAGUUAGAAAAUAAAAUUUGAGUAUUUUGAGGAGGUUUUGAUAGAAGAAUCAUUAGCAUCUGGUUCUUCAAAGAGAGUCAGAGCCCCUAACAAAGAAAUAACAACACUCAAAUACUUUUUUAUUAAGUUGAGUUUAGUUUAUUAUUGAAAGUUUUGAUUAGUAAUAUUUUUAUAAUUUAAAAAGAUAAAUAAAUUUUAAUUCUUUAAUUUAUUUAAACAUAGUAAUUAAGUAUAUACUUGACUUUAAAUAUAAAUGUUUUACUUACAAUUUUUAAUUGAUUGUAAUUACAUGUAUUGAUUUAUUUUAACUUGAAAUUCUUAAUUGAUUUAUUAAUCCUUAUAUAAUUACAUGUUAUUAUAGAUUGUAAUGUCAGAUUCCAUAAUUGAAAACUAAUGCUUUUAUUUUUUUAAUUGCCUUUUAUUUUUUACUCUUUUUUUAUAAUUAUUUUUGUUUAGGGUACAUAUUUAUAGAGGUAAUGUUCUUUGCACGUCCCCUUAUUUGAUAUACUUCUUUCUACUAAUAAUUUUUUAUACUCACUUCAAAAUAUAAUUUUUUUUAUUUUAACUAAAGAAAUAUAAAGUCCUGAAUCUGACCCUGCCUCGUUAGUCGUGACUUGUCUUAACAAACAUGGUAAUGGGGCCAUCACCACUAUUAUUGGAAGACUUCAUAGAAUCUUUCUUUGAAAAAAGAAAAAGUAAAAGAAAGAAACAUCGCAGAAAUUUUUCUUUUUCUAUGUUCAUACUAUGUAGCCUGCUCAUAUAAAUAUGUGAUAAAGGAUGGUAAUGGGGCCAAUGAGGAUAGGGAAGCCGUCUUUUUUUUCACCUCACUUAAUGUGGUGCUAAAGAAUUUCCGGGUAAAAGCCCGUUUAGUCCCUAUAUUUUGAAGUUAGUGUCCGUUUAGUCCUUAUAUUUUUAAAAAUACCUCAAAUCAUCCCUACCAUUAAAUUAUUGACAUUUUCGCCAUUAUCUUUUGUUCCUUUUAACUUAUUUUUAUAAUAUUGCCCUAUUAUAAUAAUUUUUUAGACAUUAUUAAAAAGAAAAAAAUAACCCUAUUAUAAUAAUUUUUUUAGACAUUAUUAAAAAGAAAAAAAUAAAUUACCAGUUUAACACCAAAAAAUAAAAUAAAAUAAAAUAUAUAUAUUAAUUUUUGUGGAACACACUCUUGAGUUAAAAUAUUAAUUUUUCUAAAAAAAUUGAUAAAUGUAAUUUUUUACGAUAUUAAUUUUUUAGACAUACGUGAGCUUCCACAAAAAUUAAUAUAUACCUUUUUUGUUUUUAUUUUAUUUUUGAGUUUAAUUUGAUAAUUUAAUUUCUUUAUUAAUAUCCAAAAAAGAAAUAUUAUUGUAAAAAUGUAAUAUUGUAAAAAUAAGUUAAAAAUAAUAAAAAAUAAUGGCAUAAGUGUCAAUAUUUAGUAGCAGGGACGCUUUGAGGUGUUUUUAAAAAUACAGGGACUAAAUAGACACUAACCUCAUAAUAUAGGGACUAAACAAGCUUUUACCCAAGAAUUUCCAUAUUGUCAUAAACAUGUGUUCAGGGCUCUUCGUGGAAAUUCAUCGGAGCUUUUGUUCCGCGUAAGGGAGCUUUCAAAUUCAAGCAAACUGGUAACUUCAUAGAAAUUUCCGACAGUCACUGGCUAGAUUUAGAUCGUUCGACGAAAUUCUCUUCGACAACAAAUUCUACUUUCAGUGCACAACUUACAAGCAACUAAAGGGGCAGUGGAGGGGUCUAGUGCUUUAGACACUUUAGCUUACUCCUUUUUAAAAAAGUAUCUAUUAGCUCCAAAAUAAGGCGAAGCGCCCAAAAAUAAUGCUACAUUAUUUUUUAUUUUAAAAGUAAAAUUACGCCAAACAAAUCUUCUGGGUAUCCAUUGUUGUAUUAUUGAUGAAAUUUUACUAGUUGAAUCAAGUACCAUAAAUUAUUCGGCCAUUGGUGGAGUUUGUAGUCAUUGUCCUCACAAUUAUACGUGAAUGUAUGUACAAAUCUGGACUGUGCUAUAAUGAACUUGAUCUUAAAUAAUUCCAGCAAGUUUCUAAUUGAAAAUAUUGGUAGCCUUCAUAUUGUAAUACAUACAUGAGACAUCAAUAAAAACAUCAUCAUUCUUAAAAUAAUGUUAUAUAAUUAGAUCAAAACUUUUUUUUCUCUUCUUUUAUUGAAUAAUGCUAAAUAUACAAAUAUUGUAUAAACCACUGUGACGUGUCAUAUUUACUUUAUUGUCUCAUAUCCUAUAACGGUAUGAAGAAAAUAUACUAUAAGGCCUUAUUCUUAACUUAGAUAAUAUGAAAAGAAGCAUGUAUGAACACUACCAUGUCGCAGCAAGAGAUUAUUUAAUAUUAUAUCACUUUAAGGGCUUAUUUCUGUGAGAAGAACUUUAUGGUAGAAUUAUCAUUUUUUAACGUAAGAAAAUAAAAAUCAUAUAAGAACCUUAUCACUAUUAAUUUAAGGAGACAGGCUACUAAUCAAAUAAAAUAUAAUAAAUAUAUAAAUAACAAUAAAUCAAGAAAAAUCAAUAAAAGAAAAUAAAAAAGCGGAUCAUGUUUCCAAACAAUUGAUGGAAAAAAAAAAAAGGAAGCCUCGAACUUUUUCGCUCUUAGAAUUGAGGGCAUAGGUUGAUUGCCCCUGCCACUGUCCUUAUUAAAUUGGCAUUAUUUUAAAAGGAAUAUGUUACAUAUUAAAGUGAGGACAUUUUUAUCAUUUUACUCAUAUGUAACUUGUUCAUGUAAUAGAUCGUAAUGGACCACAACCUUACUGCAACAUGAAAAAUAGUUCAUGUUGUGGUUAGAAGGUUGUAGUUAAUUGUUAAUUUCUUAUAUAUUGUAUGAUGAUCAACUUAUAACAUAUUUAUUAUUUUUGUCAAAAAAUUGUUUGAAAAUUGUAUUUAUCACACACUAUCAACUAUUAUUUAUAAACUAUCAUUUUCAUUAUUAUUUUUAUUUUUCAUCUUUUAAUCUUAAGGUAGAGAGUUUGAGUCUUUCCAUGUAAUUAGGAGUCCAUUAUUAUAUUUUACUUUGUUUGGGCUUUGUUUCUAUUAAGCUUAGUAUAUAUGUGUGUGUGUGUGUGUGUAUUUUAAAAAAAAGACUGUCAAUUUCUCUCUACUGAAAUCAAUACAUAUCACUUAACUCCUAUUAUUUUCACAAUAUUCAAAAAUCUCUGGCAUAAAAAAUUUAAAGGAAAAGAAAGAUAAAUAGGUCAUUUAAUUGAUAAUUUAUCUUAAGAAUAUAAAGUAUUUAUUUAUUAUAAGAAACAUGUUUUAAAAAAAUGAAAGAAACAUAUUUUGUUAUUAAAUUUUUAUUUACAUCGAAAUAUAUAUUUCUUAUAUGUACUACUUAAAUUUUUUUACUUUUCUUUCUUUUUAUAUGAUGCAUUUAAUUUAUAAUAAAUAUAAAUAGAAGUUUAUUUAAAAAUAAAAAUAAUAUUUUAAUAUAAUUUUAUCAAGAAAGUUACUAAAGAUUAUAAAAACAUUAAGAAAAUAAGUAGUGUACGUCAUUGCGAUAGAGAGAAACCCUGACGACAAUGUCCAUGCCAAAAAGUAAGGCGAUUAACUAAAGUUUGAACUUUGUGCUGCUCCGUUACGAGGACGUGUAGCACAAUUCACCAUUAUCAAGUGAGGCCGAGGCGAUGGACUUACAAACCGACAAGACGACACUUUUUCUAGUAUUCAGUUUUAAAGCUCACAAUUCAACAUUCUCCACCUUAAGCUUGAAAACCUCUUGAACCUGCUACUCUUCUCUUCAUCCAUCUAGAAUUCAUCUGCUACACAUACCAGCUAAGUUCAAACAGAACAUGAACUUAGCUCUGAGUAUAGCCUUAGUUAGCAUAUCUACAACAUUAUUAUCUGUAUGAAUUUUCUGAAGCUUUAUAGUUGCUUUUGAUACUUCCAACCUGAAAAAAUGAAGCUUGAUGUCAACAUGUUUAGUCUUUUUAUGGUGAGUUUGAUUCUUGCUUAAACAUAUAGCACUUUGGCUGUCACAAUGAAUCACCACUGAGUUCUGAUCUACCCCAAGCUCCUUCAACAUGCCUUUUGACCAUAUUGCUUCUUUGAUUGCCUCAGCAGUAGCUGUAUACUCGACUUCAGUAGUUGACAGAGCAACUACACUUUGUAAUUGUGCUUUCCAGUUUAUAGCGCAGUUGUCAAAUGUGAAUAAGUACCCUGUAAGGGAUAAUCCUAUCCAGGUCCCCUGCAUAGUCUGCAUCCACAUAACCUACGAUCAAACUGUCAUCUGCCCUCUGUCCUCCAUACAUCAGUCCAUAUCCAGAUGUUUUCCUUCAAUACCUAAGUAUCCAUUUUAUAGCCUUCCAAUGCUCUUUCCCAGGGUUUGCCAUAUAUAUGCUUAUUACACUUACAACAUAUGCUAUAUCAGGUUUGGUAAGGAUCAUAGCAUACAUUAAACAUCCUACAACACUUGCAUAAGGAAUUCUCAUCAUCUUGGACUUAUCAACUUCAGUUAUAGGACAUUGUUGUUCUGACAGUCUGAAGUGAGCUAGUAAAAGAGUUUGAAUUAGUUUUGCAGUUCCCAUUUCAAACUUAUCAAGCACUUUGUUGAUGAAUCCUUUUGUGUAAGAAACAAGCUACCAGACUUUCUAUCCCUGAUAAGCUGCAUUCCUAGUAUUUUCUUGGCUGGCCCUAAAUCCUUCAUCUCAAAUUCUCCUCUAAGUUGCUACUUCAAAAGAUCUAUCUGUUUCAUGCUCUUGCUGGCAAUAAGCAUAUCAUCUACAUAUGAAAGCAAGUAAACCUUCUCUCUAAAUAUCUUUCUAUUAUAUACACAGCAAUCCAGAUUGCACCUUUAAAAAUAAAGCUUCAUCAUAAAGCUAUCAAACUUAAGAUACCAUUGCCUAGGUGACUGUUUGGAGACCAUAUAGGGAUUUCUUCAGAAGGCAUACAUACUCAGCUUUCUCCUGAUCAACAAAACCUUCAGGUUGAGUCAUUAUUAUUUCUUCUUAUAACUCUCCAUGCAAAAAUGUUAUUUUAACAUCCAUCUAUUAAAGAUGUAUAUUGUUAACAACUACAAGUGAUAAAAUUAAUCUGAUUGAGGCAUGUCUAACCAUAGGGGAAAAAACUUCAGUAAAAUCAAUACCCUCCUUCUGUGUGUAGCCCUUGGCAACCAGCCUGGCCUUAAACCUUUCGGGUUCAACUCCUGGUAUGCCUAGUUUGACUUUGUAAACCCAUUUACAUCCUAUCAUCUUUAUUUUUUUCUAGUUUUUUAAUAAGUUUCUAAGUGUUAUUAUUGUAUAAUGACUCUAUUUCUUCCUUUAUGACUCUUAUCCACCUGUCUGCAUCUUUACCUGAAACAACUUCCUUGUAAGUUCUUGGUUCAUCUUUCUCCAAUUCAUGGGCUACUGUUAGAGCAUAUGCGAUUAAAUCUGUAUACGCAAAUCUCUUUAGUACUUUAAUCUCUCUUCUUUACCUAUCCCUGACAAGUUGGGAGUCCUGGAUUUCAGUUUGACCACCAGAAAUAUCAUUGACAUCCUCAGUCUCACCCAUCUCUACAUCUGUUAAUGUAUCAUGGUAGUCCUGAGUUAACUUUCUUGGAAACUCCACCUUUAAAUGUUGCCCUUGUGAGUUUGAACCCUCCUCUGUAUCUCCAGGUUCUGUUACUUGUCUUUUACUCAAUAUUUUUUUAUUUAUUAAAAAACAUCUCUACUAAUGAUACACCUUGGUGGUUUUAAAUUAGUACACCAGAGCUUAUAGUCUUUUACACCUUCUAGAUAACCCAAGAAAACACAUUUCAAUGCUCUAAGCUCUAGCUUUCCUUGCUUUAUAUGUGCAUAAGCAGGGCAACAAAAAAUCUUUAAACUCAGAUAAUUUGUCGCCUCCCUGACCACAUUUCUAUUGGUGUUUUUAAGCUUAAGGCAUUGGAUGGACUCUUAUUUACUAGGUAACAAGCUGUCAUUAAAGUUUCAGCCCACAAAGCCUUAGGCAGCUUUGAGUGUAUUAGCAAACACCUAACUUUCUCCAUCAAGGUUCUAUUCAUUUUUUCUGCUAACCCAUUUUAUUGUGGAGUGUUAGCAGUAUUUUUAUGUCUUGUUAUACAAUUCUGGUUACAGAAAACCUCAAACUGCUGGUUACAAAACUGUAAUCCAUUGUCAAUUCUUAGCCUCUUAACUUUUUUACCACUUUGAGUCUCAACCAAUGCUUUCCAUUGCUUAAACUUCUCAAAGACCUCAUCAUUUCUCUUUAAGACAUACACCCAAACCAUUCUGGAAUAGUCAUCUAUAAAAGAAAGAAAAUAUUUGGCUCCACCUAGAGAAACUGUAUGUGCUGGUCCCUACAAAUCAGAAUGGAUGUAAUCUAAGGUCCCUUUUGUGUUAUGCAUUGCAGUUUUAAAACCAGUUCUAGAGGAUUUACCUAGGACACAAACCUCAUAGAACUCAAGAGACCCUAACUUAUCAUCCUCAAAGACUCCCUAUUUUUCUAAAACUCUCAGUCUUUUCUCACUCAUAUGUCUCAAUCUUAAAUGCCAUAUAAGAGUCUUGUCUAAAUCCAAACUUAAUGAAGCACUGAGAUUUCCAGUUACAGCAGUGCCUUGAAGCACAUAUAAACCAUUGUGCUUAUUCCCCUUCAUUAUCACAAUGGACCCUCUAAUUACCUUCAUUACACCAGAGUCUACCUUAAUGGAGCAGCAACUUGAUAUAGAGUGCCUAGAGAGAUUAGAUUCUUCUAAAGAUUAGGAACAUACCUUACUCUCUUAGCUUUUUAAUCAUCCCAUCAAACAUCUUAAAUAUAUUGGUUCAUAAUCCAACUACCCUACAUAGUGAGUUAUUCUCUAGCAAUACCUCUCAUCUAUUAAAAUGAUUAUAAGUAGUAAAAAGAUUUUGGUCAGGGCAUAUCUGAUAUGAACAUCCAGGAUCAAGAAUCUACUUACUAUUUGUCUGAGUUUGCCAAAAGGACACCAACUGAGUCAUAACCAUCAUCCUCGGAUGCAAAAGUAGUAUCUCCAAUAUUUCCAUGCCCUCAUUUGCUCUCGUUCUUUCUAUCUGGACAAUCCCUCUUGAAAUGCCACUCUUUAUGACAGUGGAAGCAUUUCAAGACCUUAUCAUUGGACUUAGAUUUUUCCAUUUUCUUCUCUUUGUUGUUCUCUUUUUUCUUAGACCUUCCCUUGCCAUCAGGCUUUCUCCAUCAUUUGUUUCUGCCUUCUUUGUGACUUCUUUAAAACUAAGUAAGUCGUUUACAUUUGCAAUAGUUAUAGAUUGUCUCUCAUAUAACAAUGUGUCAAUAAAAUGCUCGUAGAAUGGUGGCAGAGGGGAUAACAAGAUGAUUGCUUUGUCCUCAUCUUCCAACUUCACAUUGAUGUCUUCAAGAUUAAGAAUAAUCCUGUUAAAAUUAUCAAUUUGAUUAGCUAACGAGCUGCCUUCCUCCAUCUAUAGAGUGUACAAUCUUUUCUUUGUACAAAGUCUUUUAGCUAGGGACUUUUUAGUGUAUAAGUCUUCUAACUUCUUCUAAAGGCCUGCAACACUUGUUUAAUCUCCCACCUCCCGAAGCACUCUAUCUCCAAGGCUCGAGAUUAAGGUGUUAUAAGCCUUAUCCAAAGCAUCAUGUAAUUCUUCGUCAAUGAACUUGCUUGGUUUCUUGCCAGUUUUUGGCUCCCCCAAUGUCUCCUCUAAGCCUUGAUGAACCAACAGUGCUCUCAUCUUGAGCCUCCAAAUAUGCAAUAUCGUUUUCGCCAGUGAAUGUCUCCACCUCAAACUUGGAUGUUGCCAUUUUUUUAAUAAAGAAUCAAAUAUGAAGCUCUUAUACUAAUUUGUUGAUCUAAGAUCAGCUUUGACACUGAUCAAGAAACUCCAAGAUCAAUCUAAAUUCUCUUAAACUUAAUUAAAGAAACUAGAAAAACAACACACAUAGGAAUACACACACAGAAACAAUCAAUCAAAAAACUAAAGGUUUAAGUGGUUCGGUUGGAGCAGCCUACAUCCACUGAAGAACGAGCAGCAUAUUUUCAUUCAAUCACUGAUUUCAAGAUACAAGUCUUAUGAAAAAGAUACAAACUAUUAAUAUGACCCUUUAGAGGACUCUGGACAGAUUCCCUCACACCAGCUGUGACUUGAAUUUGUUACAACUGAACCCAGAAAUUUCCCGCUCUAAUUAACAACCUAUACCAGCCUUAGACACGUGACAAUUUUGUGCUGUGAAUAAGUGAUAAUAAGUGAUAUCAAAACACUCCUCUCAUUCGUCAUUUUCAUACUAAGUUGUUGAAGUAUGUGCACGUGAUACACACACGCUUUACUUAAGAAGCUCAGCUGAUUUGUCAUCUGUAAUAUCCUUUAUUCCAACGACAUAUUGUUCAGCCAAGGACCAAAAAAGAAAUUUGCACUUAUUCAACAAACUGACAAGACGACACUUUUUUUGGAAUCCAAUUGUAAAGCUCACACUUCAACAAUUACCCUCUGCAGUCGACUAAAAAGAUUUAUGGAUGUUACUUUUCUCUUUGAUUUAUGUUAUUGAGGAGUGCCUUCACUAACACAAGGCAUCGCAAGAAAGAGAAAAAAAAUGACAGAAUUUAAUAGAGGUUGUGAGAAUGGUAUGCUAGAAAAGAACGAGUACCCUCUAAGAUCAGGCUUGCGAGCAUUGGUAAAGGGCAACUUGGAGUCGGUUCUUUGGCAUAAAAUUGCAGAUUUGAACAUUCUCAUUAGAGCUUUAAAAUUCUUGCUUCAUCAUUUUGAAAAAGGCCUUUUCAACCACAGACAACUGAAGAGUGUUAUUAACGAUGAUCUCAAGGUAUGGUUUCUUGGACACAGUAAUCUUACUUUAUUCGAUUUUAUUUAAUUUCUAUCUAUAUUAAUUAAUAUUUUUUUAAACAUGGGUUGGGUCUUGGUCGUCAUGUCAGUUUUUAAUUUUUAUUGGUCACUGAUUUCAAUAAUGAUGGAAAUGCACGUAUCAUGUUAGCGAUUCAAAUUCAAUUCCCAACUAGCCAAACUGAAAGGCAAUCACUAACUGUUGCUACUGGAACUAGCUAAGAGAAACAACAUAGAGAUGGAGGGCAUUGCUCUAUAGUUGGUCAUUGAUGUUCAAUAAUGGCAGAAAUGCAUGUAUCAAGCAUUAUCCCUACAAAUUAUUAGUGUUUCAGUUCAUUGAUACAUGAUUGUUUGACAUAGCGUAUAAUUGAAAUUUAUAGAGCAUAUUGGCUUAUUAAUAUAUGAAUACUUUUGUCGACCUCACUUGAUAUUUCACUCAAAUAGAAGCAGUUUAAUUUUUUCCAACAACUUUUACCAUAGGAUAGUGGGGACAUUUAAUUUCUAGCAAAUUUAUAUCAAGAACAAUAGGAGUGGGAGCAAUAUUAUCAAUAUUGAUUAUGCUUUUUAUUUAUUUAUUUUCAUUUUUGGGUUCACAAUAGGUAAAUGAUAAGUUUUUGGGAAAGACUGAAUGAAAGAUGCUUUGCCAUACUGGGCAAAUUUUAUGAUCCCUUUUACUGUUGCCAAUUAUGUGUUGCCUAUUUUUCAGUGCUUACGCGAGCAGGUGGGCUUUGAAGAGAAACUAUCAUAUCCAUACCGAGUUAAUCCCCUGGGAUAUUGCUGGAAGGAUAAAUGGCCCAUGAAGAAGGAGAGCUUGGAAAAUCAUAUUUUCAGAAGAACUGAAAGAAGUCUAGGAACAAAAGAAAAUAAAGAUUGCAUAUAUAUGAAUAUUUUUAUAGUAAUCAUUGAAUUGUCUGGUUGUGCAGAAUCAUUUUCCAUCAAAGAAGGAUCUUGGGAUAAAAGACUUGAAAUUGGCAUUGGAGUUGCUAAAACCCUGGUUUCCAUGCAAAGUUCUGAGAAGCAAAAUAUUUACAGAGAUCUCAAUCCCUCAAGUAUACUACUUGAAGAGUGUUAGGAAAUAGAUGACAACUGACAACAGAAUAGUUACCAAAAUUAUUAUUGACCAUAACAAGAACAAAGAUAAUUGGAUUAUCUAAGAAAGAAAAUAGCAAGAAGGAGGAAAGCAGAAGCAGAAAACACUAAGAGGCAACAUGAAAGAUUUACAUGGGUCGGAACCAAAGUACCUACAUCCGCGGGGGAAGAACCCUAAAGGGGGGUGAAGUUUUUUUUCUUAUGAUUAAAUACGAUGAGGACUACAAAUGACAGAGAACAAACAUUUUUUACAAAGAAUUCCCAAUUCUCAGUAUUAGCCUCUAAACUCAAUCGAAAGAAAUGCCCAGUGAUCAACCUCUCCUCUGUAUUUUAUACAGUUCCUGGUCAUAACGAAUUUACCACAUGCUGGCCCACAUGAGUCGACUCACCUUGCCACUUCACCAUAAACGAAACAGAAUGUAACUGACAUUUGGCUUCACAAAUCUCCACCUUAGUUCAUUCUGAAACAACUUCACCUACUUAUUUAGCAAUUACUAACUUAGUUUACAAGCUACCAAUUCCAAUCAAGUUCAGAGAGUUUCUAAACUUGACUACAUUACUGCUUUUGUUAAAAUAUCAGCUGGAUUAGUCUGCAUAGGAACCUUGACAACAUCAACUACUCCAUUUGCUAUUUCAUCCUUGACAAAGUGCAACCUAACAUCAAUAUGUUUGGUUAUUUCAUGAUACUUAGGAUUCUUACUGAGUUAUAUCGCACUGGAACUAUCACAACCAAUGCAAAUUGAAUCAUGCUUCAAUCCGAAUUCAGAGACUAGCCCAUUCAACCAUUUUACCUCUUUGACUACUUCAAUUAAGGCAAUGUACUCGACUGUAGUAGUAGGUAAAGCAACAACUGGUUGAAGAGAAGCUUUCCAACUCACUGCCCCUCCAUUCAAAAUAAAAACAUACAUUGUAAUAGACAUUCUCUUGUCAAGAUCAGCUACAAAAUCUGAGUCCACAAAACCAGAUACUUGACAUGAGCUAUUUUCAGUACCUCCAUACAGAAUUCCAUGAUCAGCAGUACCACUCAAGUACCUUAACAAACACUUGACAGCAUUCCAAUAUUCCCUUCCUAGAUUCCCCAUAAACCUGCUAAUAACCCCUACACCAUGAGCUACAUCAGGUCUUGUACAAACCAUAGAAUACAUAAUGCUGCCAACUGCACUUAAAUAGGGCAUUGUCUUCAUAUACUCAAUGUCUUUAUCUUCUUCUAGUUCCUGAAGCUUUGACAAUCUGAAGUGUACUGACAGAGGCACUGAUACAGGCUUUGCACUACUCAUCUCAAACCUAUUAAGAACCGUUUUUACAUACAUGCUUUGGGUAAGAAACAAGGUUUUUGAAUUUCUAUCCCUUACAAUCUGCAUUCCCAAUAUUCUUGUUGCAGCCCCUAGGUCUUUCAUUUCGAAUGCAGAACUCAACUUCAUUUUUAACCUUUCUAUCUCCUCUCUAUCUUUACAUGCAAUAAGCAUGUCAUCUAUAUGAAGAAUGAAAUAAAUUCUAUUUUUAGAAGUCAAAACUUUAAAAUACACACAGCUAUCAUAUUGGCUUUUGUAAUAACCAUGACUGAUCAUGAACUCAUCGAACCUCAAAUACCAUUGUCUUGGAGAUUGUUUCAGCCCAUACAAACUCUUAUUUAAUAGACAUACCAAUCUUCAGUCCUCUCUUCAAUGAACCCCUCAGGCUGAUCCAUAAGAAUUUCUUCUUCAAGACUCCCAUAUAAGAAGGCAGUUUUUACAUCCAUUUGAUCCAAUUCCAGGUCUUUGAAUGUUGUUAUUGUAGUAGAACUCUUAUAGAACUAUAUCUGACAACAUGAGAGAAUACCUCAUUAAAGUCCACUCAAUGUUUUUGUGUGAACCCUUUUGCAACAAGUCUUGCCUUAUAUUUGGGAAGGUCACCUUCAGCUGUUCCCUCUUUAAUUUUAUAAAUCUAUUUGCAUUCUACCAAUCUUUUAUUUUGAGGUUUCUUGACCAAAGUCCAUAUAUUAUUCUUCUUUAGUGAAAUAAUUUCUUCAUUCAUAAGAUCCAGCCAUUUUAUUUUAACUCUGUUAUUCAUGGUCUGUUUGAAGCUUAUAGGUUCCUCACCAAUAACUUCCUCAGCUAUUGUCAGUGCAUAAGAAACCAUAUCAACAAUGCCAUACCUUUUGGGUAACUUAAUAACCCUCAUUUCCUUGUCUCUGGUAAGCUAAUAAUAAUCUGUUUAAGAAGUGGUGUGAGUUUUUUUAUAAGACUUAGAAUCCCUUUCUGCAGCUCUUUUAUCUUCACUUGACUCCACUUUAAAGUUGUGCUCCUUAUUCUCAUUCAAAUCAGGUGUAAUGAGCUUUGUUUCUACCCUCUGAUGCAGCAUAGACUCUUCAUCAAACAUAAUAUCUCAGCUAAUAAGAGUUCUUGUAGGUUUGCCAUCUAUGCACCAAAGUUUAUAUCCUUUGACACCCUUUGGAUACCCUAUGAAGUAACCCUUAACAGCUUUUUGCUCUAACUUUCCCUAGUUUAUGUGAGCAUAAGCAAGGUAGCCAAAAAUCCCGAGGUUGCUGAGAUCUGGAGGUUUUCCUGACCAAACUUCCUAAGGAGUCUUGAAAUGCAGUGCUGCUGAAGGGCUCCUAUUGACCAAGUAAGUUGUAGUGGUAACAGGUUCUGUACAUAAGUGUUUUGAAAGGUUGCAUUAAACAGCAUGCACCUUACCUUUUCAACUAAGGUCCUAUUCAUCUUUUCGGUUAACCCAUUUUAAUGAGGUGUGUGCCUUACAAUUUUGUGCCUGGCUAUCCCCUUCUUGAUGCAGGGUUGAUCAAAAUCAUUGCAGCCAUACUCGAGCCCAUUAUCUAUUCUUAGCCUCUUCACCCUCCUCUCUGUUUGAUUUUUCAUUAAAGUCAGCCAUUCUUUAAACUUUUCAAAAGCCUCACUCUUCUGCUUUAGUACAUAUACCCAGAUUUUCCUUGAAAAAUCAUCAAUGAAAGUAAUAAAGUAUCUGGUUCCACCAUGAGAAUGAACCUAAGGGGCCCCCACAGAUCUGAAUAGAUAUAAUCCAUUGUAUUUUUAGUCUCUUGUUUUCCUAGAUUAAACUUUUGUCUGGUUGCUUUACCAAAUACACAUUUCUCACAUAAUUCAAGUGCUGAAAUUUGGUCAGUUCCUAAUAAUCCUUGCUUACACAACUCCUUUAAUCCUUUCUCACUCAUGUGUGCUAAUUUCAUGUGCCAAAGCCUAGUUUUAUCACUAUUUACACUAGUAAUAACACCAGGUAACACUACUGAGCCAUUAAGCAUAUACAAUCCAUUUCUUCUACUACCUUUUAUUAUGACUGAACCACCUUUAAAGAUUGGAAGUUCACCAUUUUUUGCCCUUAUACAACAACCCAAUUGGUCUAUCAUUCCUAAAGAUAUAAGGUUUCUUUUAAGCUCUGGAACAUAUCUCACUUGUUCCAAGCUUCUGACUGUACCAUCAUACAUUUUAAUACUAACAGAUCUUAUUCCAGCAACUUUGCAGGCUAGAUUAUUUCCAAGCAAAACUUUACCACAAUCAACAUUUUCAAAAGUCACAAAGAAAUCUUUAUAUGGGCACAUAUGGAAAAAACACCCUGAAUCAAGUAUCCACUCACCAGAAGAUUUCUUAUAUGCUGCAAUAAGAACAUCUGCAUCUUCUAAUUCUCCUUCAUCUACAUAUACAACAUCAGCUUUCCUACUUGAUUCUUUCUGUAACUUUUCAAGUUUCUUUUUUUCAAAACAAUCUUUUAUUUAAUGCCCUUCCUUUUGACAUAAGUAAUAUUUUCUUUUCUUCUUCUUCUUGUCAGCCUUUUCUUUCUAAUUUUUGUUUUUCUUGUCUUUGUUCACAUUUUUCUCUGACUUUGCUUUAACAACUAAUCCAUCCCCAGCAAUUUAAUCCUUACCAUCUGCUCUUUUUUUCAAGUCUUUAGAUUUAAGGGCAUUCUUUACAUCUUUUAGGGUGAGAGCCUAUCUCCCAUAGAGCAAAGUGUCCACGAAGUGUUCAUAGGAAUUUGGUAAUGAGUUUAACAGGAUAAGAGCCAUAUCUUCAUCAUCAAGUAUGAUGCUGACAUUUUCAAGAUCGAGUAUCAGUUUAUAUAACUCAUCAAGAUGAUCCUUCAUGACUGUCCCCUCCUUCAUUGAAAAUGUGUAGAGCUUCCUCUUCAUGUAUAAUCUUUUAGCCAGAGAUUUUUUUAAGAAAAGUUCUUCCAACUUCGCCCACAACCCAGAGGCAGUCUUCUCUUUGGCUACUUCUCUCAACACCUCAUCAGAUAGGUGGAGUAUGAUCGUGCUGUGAGCUUUGUUGUUUAUGAUCCUCAAGUCUUUACCUGAACCUGACGAACCUUCCCCUCUUUCUUUCUUGGACUUUAAUUCUUCUUCAUCAUCGAGGGCACUAUCUAAGCCCUGUUGAAUCAAAAUGGCUCUCAUUUUCAGACUCUAUAAGUAUAAAUCAUUUUCACCAUUAAACUUUUCAAGAUCAAACCUAGUGGCUGCCAUUCUUGAAGAUCAAGAACAGAGAGUCUGAUACCAAUUUGUUAGGAAAUAGAUGACAACUGACAACAGAAUGGUUGCCAAGAUUAUGAUCGACCAGAACAAGAACAAAGACAACUGGAUUAUCUAAGAAAGAAAAUAGCAAGAAGGAGGAAGCAAGAAGUAGAAAACACUAAGAGGCAACAUGAAAGAUUUACGUGGUUCGGUACCAAAGUACCUACAUCCACGGCUGAAGAACCCUAAAUGGGUGUGAAGCUUUAUUGCUUAUGAUUGAUUACAAUGAGACUACAAGUGACAGAGAAAAAAUCUCUUUUACAAAGAAUUCCCAAUUCUCAAUAUUAGCCUCCAAACUCAAUCGAAAAAAAUGCCCAGUGAUUAGCCUCUCCUCUGUGUUUUAUACAUCUCCUGAUCAUAACGAAUUUACAACAUGCUGGCCCACAUGAGCUGACUCACCUCGCCACCUCACCAAAAGCAAAAUAGAAUGUAACUAACAUUUGGCUUCACAAAGAGGUUAUUAUUCAUUUUGAUCCUUGCCUCUAUUUCUUAUGUUCAUUUUAACACUAUGUUUGUCAUAGAAGUACUUUGAUUAAUUCUUAUUUCCCAGCCUCUGACCUCUUUUUAUGCAUGUUGCAGACUCCAAAAUCUUUCCUGGCUGAUACACCUCAUAACUCCAUUGCAAGGGUUAACUUAAUGGAUGGUGGUGAGUGUACAGCGUUGAGUGUAUCAGAAGACUUAUCGCAAGCUGGGAAGACAGAACUGAAAAUUAAGGCAACUCAGCAUGUAUGGGGUGCUUUUGGAGCUAAAUAUGAUCAAAUGAGGAAGGGAUUUAAAUGGGGGCACCUCUCAUCGCAUUUGCAGAACACCUGGCUCAAUAUGAAAACCAAAAAUAAGUCUAAAGGCUAUGUCUUUCAUCCACUGUUACUGCUGGCAUUGUUAUCAACCAUAAUGUUCCACGCAGCAUUGAUGAUCUUGGGCUGUAGAUCAGAAAAAGGUUUCUCUUCUGUCGAAUUGUGAAUAGACAUCUGCAUUUAUUCCAAUUACUAAUCAGCCUCAAUUCCGCUUCCUUUUUCUUAUGCUUAGCAUUUAUGACAAUUCUCUUUUAUGAGCUUCCGCUCAAGCCAUUGCUGCUAGUUUCUGUAUUUUCAAUGCUUGCUGCCUACAUGUGCAUGAUAUAGGAUUCUUUUUGCCUCGCAUGUGCUCAUAGCAGUCAAUUUCUCAAAUAACUUGCAGGAGCACUCAUCAUCAAUAUUAAAAAAAAAAAGGUGUUUUAUUGAGUCAUUUUUAAUCUUGUUAAUUUCGAAGUGUAAUGCGUGAUGUAUGUUGUAUUAAGGUUAAUUUGAUUCAAAACUUUUAGGGCUUUUGUUUGGGUGAUUAAAACGCUACCGCGAGAUUGUAGCCUCCUCGUGAUCAAAGCAAUGAUCGAGGAGAUUCGUAAUAGUCAGCUGCUCGUGUGCACGAGGACUGCCAAGGAAAUCGCGAGCAGAAGCCAAGAUUAGGUCUUCACAAGGAUAUUGGUCUACAAAUAUAUGCCUAACAGGAGACAAAAGAUAUUACUGGAAGAAUAAAUGGCUCAUGCAGAAGAAAUGCUUGGAAAAUGUUCAUUUAGGAGGUAAGGACCUCAGAUAAUUAAAGAAAGAAAAUAAAUUAUAAAAGAUUUGCAUUAACUGUCUUCCUGCUUGGGAGUGCAGAACAUCCUGCCUCUGUUCAACAAUCGCCUCGUGCUGAACGACUUGAAAUUGUCACGAAAGUUUGUCAAGGCCUGGCUUUUUUACAUAGUUCAGAGAAGCAGGUUUUCACAGAGAUUUUAAGGCCUCCAAUAUACUGCUUGAUGAGAUUAGUUUCCACUCGAUAUCUUUUGAUACCACUGCUUUAUGUCUUAUCUGAUUUUAUUCUUGCGACGCUAUGCAGACUUUUAAAUGUAAUCUGUCCGAUUUCUCCAUAGCCAAGGUUAGUGCUAUGGAGAAUGCUGAGUUAACAGCUUUGGACACGUCAUCUGUGUCGGCGCAAUCUGGGAAGACAGAUAUGGAAAUGAAGAUGGCUCAGCUAGAGAGUGGAGCUUGGAGGGUUCAUGAUGAAUAUGAGAAGCCACUUCAAUGGCCGUCCAAGUCAUCCCAUUUGAAGAGCACCAGGCCCAAUUUGAAAACAGAAAAUGAAACUUGGAAUAAUUUUCUUUAUUUGUUAUUGAUGGCCACAUUGCUGUCAACCAUAACCCUCCUCUCUGCAUUAAAGAUCAUGGGAUGCAAAUCAGAAGAAGGCUACAAAAACAAUUCUAGCCUAAACCCCAUCUGCCAGAUUGUCAAUCACAUCCAUUUUAUAUCCGACUCGUGACUACCUUCAAUUCCGUUGCCUUUUUCUUAUCCAUAGCAUUGAUGAUGAUUUUCUUCAAUAAGCUUCCGCUUAGGCCAUUGCUUCUGGUAUCUGCAUUUUUCAUGCUCGGUGCUUACAUGUGCAUAAUAUCUGGCCUUACAAAGCCUAACUUGAGCCCAUUCUACUCAACAUUUUAAGGUUCCUGGAAGAUGACAUAUUUUCUUUGGAAUGUGACACACUAUUGCAAUAAUUAAGCUCAUUAUGUCCUAUGGAUUUGCAUCGAUCAAUACACUAGAUGUGGUGUAAGCAGACAAUUAAGUUCCUAUUUUUAUUAUUAAGAUGUCUGGUGUGUUUAACGUUUGACACUGCUGUAUUAAUAAAUUAUGAAUGUAAAAUAUGAACAGAGUCUGAAAAACUGUCAUGCCAGCAGGCAUGGUUAUCAAUAAAACUUUUACAGUUGAUUCACUAGUAGUUUUACUUCAGUUUAUAACCACCUAAAUUGACCUGGGUACAUAAACAUUGCAGCCACCGAUCCAGUAAUUCUAUAUAACAUCAACGAUCAGAAGUAGGGUUAAUUCCAGCAAGACAAAUGAAAGAGUUUUUGGGUACUGCUAGAGCAAAAAGAGUAAGCAAUCAUGUAACCAAUUGUGUUAAUUGACAAGUUACGCAUUUGGGUUCAUCUGUGAGAGGAGACAACCCCUGACUCAGAACAGUCUUUUUGUGUUUUAGCUUGAUGGCCUGAAAUUAAUUAACCCCUCAAGCUAAUUAGGUUUCAUCAGCCAGAGAGCCCCCAAGUAUAUUUCAAUUUCAUAAUUGAGGUAAGCAUCUUUUACAGGAGCAGAUGAUUGAAAACAAUCAACACAUACAAGUUUAAAAUGUACAAAUUUAUAGUGGGGUGACUUUACAGGAUCAUAAGCUAAACUAACAUCAUUGAACAAUUUGGCCGCUAGGUAGAGGAAGUACAGCAAAUUGCUCCGUCGUAGGAUUGUAUAUAAAUAUAAAUGUACUACUAGUUGCUAUAUAGUCAAAGCUGGAACAAAAUAGAAACCCAAUGAGAAGAUUGCUCAAUUCGUAAACCUGAACAACUAUUUCAAAACAUUAAGUCAUUUAAAGGGCACAAAACCGUGGUCUGGAUUAAUGAGAAAAGAACUCCUGUGCAAGACGAGCCCUGAGACUAAAUGGCUGUCCGGGUAAAGGUGGAGAGAGAAAUCAGGUCUGGGAAUGAGGGAGAGCCGGUGUCUUGAAACAGAUUUGAAUCUUAAUAGUUUUUUUUUCUUUUGUGCGUAAACUAACAAGGAUCUUUUUUAGAAAGAGAUCAUUAUUUGCAAUGACAAAGGAAGCUAACUUCCUUUUGUUAGAAGACAUAUUUGAAGCUUCUCAUGGCAACAAGAUAUGUCACUUGCACUCUUACGUAAAGUAGCAGUACACCAAAUUACCCCUUAAAAAUCUCGAAAAGCCUAUUACAGUGGAGAAAUAAAUGGAGAUGAAACAACAUAAACUAUGUACAAUUGAUGACAAAGGAAACCAUUAGCAUCAUAAGUAAAAUUGAUGACGAAGGAAACCAUUAGCAUCAUAAAAACCAUCUUUGACAUUUCAGGAUGUGGAGCAUCCCACCAAGUGAAAUUAUGACGAGCAAGGGCUAAAUUAACCAGGUAGUCGGUAAUGAUUUCAGCCUCUUGAUAACUAUAAGGCAGUGAUUUCGUGAAGAUCUUCAAGACUGUUGCCCCUGGGAUUGGUUCUAUUCCUCCGCAAACAAAUGAAGCGCCAAAAGGACAAAGUGAAUUUCCCCAUACUUAGUACAGCCAUUCCGAACAAAAUGAGGGCAAGGACUAAAGACCACACCAACCCAUUACUUGAGAUGCUUGAUUUCCCAACUUUCACAUAGAAUUUAGGUAUGAUCUCGUCCGCUAAGAGAAUAUAAACAAUGGCCGUGCAGAUUACAAGGAAGAGCACAAAUGUUCUCAAAUGUAACGGCCAUACGAGCAAUACAAUCGCAAACAUGGUAGACAAGAACCCAGCAGAGUUGAAAAUCAUGAUGUAGACAACGGUUGGCAACUUACUGAGUACGUCAUCCUUAUCAGCGUGCAAUGUUUUAACUGCAAGAUAAUCUUGUUUAGCAAAUUGUAAACACGACCAAAAGAAAAAUAAUAAUUUAGUUAAAAACUUUUACCGGCAAGAGUAUCCUCUCUGAGUAAGGAAUCUGGCAAAUUGCAAGCUACCGUGAAAAAUGCUGCAGCAAUCGUUACUACUACCAUCAAUAACACGUUUCUUGUCUGUAUGGGCCACCGUGUUUGGUUCCUCCUGCUGUUGGCGGUUCCAUCUGCAGGGAGCUGCGGAUAUUGCUGAGCAAUUGCUUGUUGAAUGAUAUAGCCUAUUUCCUUGAAAGCAGAGUCCUGAGAAUUAGCAUUGCAUAACUGUAAGGCUGUUUGUCUCUGCUUAUUCACGGUAUUAAUUCGAAUCAUUAUGCGCCUAUUGGAAUUCUCACGGAUGAGUAGCUCCACUAUCUGCAAUGAACGCAACAGGAUUGUCAAGGCGUGCGUUAUGUUUUGGCAAUCAAAAUUCAAACACUGUGUUUGCAAGAGACAGAGAGCUUACCUGCUUUAAUUUGUUAAGUGUGGCGAGGUGCAAUACAGUAUUGCCCUCCUUGUCUUUCCAAGUGAAGAGAUGCUCUUUUCUGUGACUCUUAGCCUCAUCCACCAAGGCUUGAAAGGCGUCCGCUCUGGACUUCUUCACAGCAAGGUGUAGGGCCGUCUCUCCAUUUGAAGUCAGCUUCUCAAGAGACUCCGGGCAAAUAGAAACUAAAGCCCUAAUAACAUCAGAAUUACCUUCCAAAGCUGUUCUGUGUAGCGGUAUCAUUGAAGAGUUGUCUACUUCAAGGCACAGUUCACGAUUAAUCUCUCCGAAAGUCUGAACCAUCUCGGCAUCCCCAUCUGUAGAAAGUAAGUGCAUGGUUGUUUCACCUCGCUGAUUUUUAAUACUGGCAAGUUGAGGCCACAGCCUUGCCAUUUCUUUAGCUGCUUCAAGGCUUCCAGGCAAGCAGGCGGUGAUGAGCAGAGGAUCAUCCGAGCGUUGGCAUGCUUUAAUAAUCUCAUCCAGUAAAUUCGGAUGCUUUGAAUAUAAUGACUUGACUCCGUCGACAUCGUUUCUUUGGCAAGCUUCCUGAAACAACUGCUCCAAGUUAGCCAUGACAAUUGACAGACACUCACACUGUGUUUAUGUGUUACAUUCUUCUUCCCAUCUCGCAGUUGAGCUCACAUCACUCUUAUGUUAAUUAAUUACAACUUUUCUUUUUUUCUAGGGUGAGGUUUCUUAGUCCGUCUGCACAUAUAUAUGUGUGUGUGUGUGUAUGCAAAUUAAUUGUAUGUAAAAUUAAAAAAAAAAAGUAAAAAAUCCAAGAACUUUCUUGUUUCUUUCCCCCUUACGAAUUGCACGAAAACGCGGCAUCUCUACGAAGAGAAGGAUGACCCUUGUGGUGGAUAACUCAGGGAAAUGGGCAAUGCAGGUAUAUACUUCUUCAAUACCUUCAAUUUAAUAAAACAAUUUGGAAUUUUAUACUGUUCGUACUUACAUGCUGAUAUAUUACAUAUCCGACUUAUUGAACUUUCAUAAGAUCAGUUGCUUCAAUUGACAAGAUAUAUAGGUUGAUAUAAACAACAUCUAUUAAUAAUGAAAAUAAACACAUAUUACAUAGCACAACAAAUCGGAUGCCAUAACUAGAUCCAGUUGGGCGCAUUUUUAACAAAAAUUUUAAGACAAAAAAUACAAAAAAAAGAUACUGGACAUUUGAAUAAUAUUGAUUAACAUAUAAAGUUUUUAUGAAAUACAAUUGUUUUAUAUAUAUAAAGCUCUUAAAACGUUGUAAAUUAAUUUUUCAGAUUAUAAAAGUAAUUUACACUGGCAAACCAGACUUUCUAUGACGUGAGGAGAUGGCAAUGCAUACAUCCCAUUGAAUUUUGGAAGUAUCGUAGAAGCUACGAGCCUCCCCUUUUUGUCUUUUGCUUUUUUCCCUCUUCUCUUUCCCGUAAACGUCCUGAAAAUUUCUCUCCUUGUUCCCCAUAGGAGGAAGACGACUUUCAAGUUUCAAUUUUCAAUGGGUAAUUGUUAAAAACCUCCCCUGAGGUUUGGGCUUGUUGUAAGUAGAUGAUGAGAAUUUAUUUAUUUGUAAAAAACUCCCUACCGUCAGUUAACUUUAACAUUGACCGUUAGUUGACUGUGCAAAGACAAUAUUACCCUUAACAACAGUUUGUAGAUGAAAAUAACUAAAAAAAAAUUAAAAUUAUUGGCUAUUUUAUCCUCUUUAAAUUAUUGAUAUUUUCUUAAAGUUCAUACAAAAAAGAUAAAAUUAAAAACUUGAAAAUGAAAUAGUUAUAAUCUUUACCUAUGAUAUUGUAAAUCUUUGAAAUUGACAAGGAUAAAAUUGUCAAAAAAUAGGGUUUGUGCUUUUCGCGCCAACAAUUUUAAUUUUUUUUAGUUAUUUCCGUUUACAAACUGUUAUUAAGGGUAAUAUUGUCUUUGCACGGUCAACUAACGGUCAAUGUUAAAGUUAACUGACGGUAGGAGGUUUUUUACAAAUAAACAAAUUCUCACCAUCUACUUGCAACAAGCCCAAACCUCAGGGGAGUUUUUUAAAAAUUACCCAAUUUUCAAUGGACUAAACCCGACAAAUGGGAAUGGGCGGGUCUACAGUGGAUCCAUUUCUGUCUCUCGAACCCUGUGUCCAUGAUAUCAGCCCAAAUCCACACCCAUCAAAUUUAAGACCAAUUCAAGCUAUCGCUUUAAUUCUAUGAGUCAAGCUUUUGACACCCCAGAAAUUUCCGUUAUAAAUCCCCGCUCCUAAGUGCAACUGUAUAACACCCGAUAAUUUGAAAACUACAUUCCAAAUAUAUUUCUCUACUUAUCUUUAAUUAUUAAAAUGACCCUGUAACCAGUAGAUAAUGGUAUUCAAUUAUCAGCAUAGACUGCACUUCAUUGCAUCUUGUAAGUUCAUUCAAUCAAGUUCUCCCUCUCCCAAUUUUCAAUUCCGCAUGUCCAAGUAGAGUGUCACUCUCUUUAUAAGUCAAACCAAAUACGCCCAAAUUUUAUUAGUUUGAAAGCAAUGCUAAAUGUCUAAAUGAAGGAAAAAUGUGAAAAUAGACGUGGUUUAAUAUGAAUAUGCAAAAUUAAAAAUAUAUACACACACAAUACCUUUAACAAACGAAAUCCAAGUGCCAAAAACAAAGACCUAGUUAAUGGAGGAUACACAAAAUUUUGUUUUUCAUUAAUUAUUUCUCACAUGCACGUUAUUUGAAACUUUUUUCUUUAUCAAAACACAAAAAUUUAAAAAAAAAAAUUGCGAAGUACAAUAGAAAAAAAAAAAAAGAAAUACAUGCUUGUAAGUGCUUGUACAAAAGAAUUUCAUGAAAAUUCAUAAGAAACCCGAAAGGUUGCUGAUUGAAUCCGAAAAUAUAGCAAUGAGAGGCACACAAUUAUUAACAAAAUCAUGUGGCAAAAGCUAAAAUAUAACAAAAAACGGCUAUAAAUCUAAUGACAUAAAAUAAAAAUAAAAAUAGAUAGAACACUGCAGAUUUAGAUUUAAAAUCAAAUCUUCCAUCAAAUCCACUCUUUUUGGUCUAUAAAUAUGGGCCAAAAGGAUUGAGAAAUGAUUUUUUUGACUAUUUUCUCAUCUGUUAGAGAAAAACAACUCCAAANNNNNNNNNNNNNNNNNNNNNNNNNNNNNNNNNNNNNNNNNNNNNNNNNNNNNNNNNNNNNNNNNNNNNNNNNNNNNNNNNNNNNNNNNNNNNNNNNNNNGAAGUGCCUUGUUCAGCACACACUUAGUUACGAUUGGAAGAAAAUAUUAAAGACGAGAAGGAAUUUACGCAUUUGAAGAAUCAUGUAUAAAUUUAAAUCAUUACUUCGUUCGUAUUAAAAACCGGAUCAUUGAAGGAUUUAUGGAUCCGUCAAUGCUAAAUAAUGAUAUUUAACCCUAAAGAGCAACCAGUGACACAAGGGUGACAUAAAAUGGAUUAAUUAAAAUGGAUUUUAGUGUGUUGUAUUCAGAUGUAUUACAUUUAACACAGGAGCCAAUGGUAUUGUUUUACUCCAAUUAUUUUAUAUUUUUCAAGAAUAUAAAUUAAGAAAAACACAUAUAGAAGAAAACGAAACACGUUUCAUACUUUGAUAUUCCAUAUUUGUUUUUUUUUUUUUUUGUGCUUAAAUGAAUAAAUGAUUUGAAAUUGAUAAGUUUUUGAGGUGCGCAUGCUACCCUUUUUGACCUAUCAUUUUUUGUCAUUUUACAAGAAAAUAAAAUAAGAAAAAGGCAUUUGGUUGGGUCGAAUCAAGCGUUUUUCGUUUUAGUUUUCGCUAGGGCCCAGUAUGGUAGAACUGCAACUUUGACAUUUUCUUAAGCAUAAUCAAAUGCCGCGCGCCCCCCCACCCCCCACACACAACGUCCAUGGCACCUUAUUGAUAUUAUAUUCUCUAACUUUUCUGAUAUACUCUUUUAGUGUGUUUUUUUAACCAAUGUGUUAAAAUUUUAUUAAUACAAUGUUUUUUGAAAAAUAUAAAAUUACUAUAAUUGUAUACUUUAUAAUUAUUAAACAAGCUUUUAAAUGAUAUAAAUCUAAAUUUGUGUUUAUGAUAAUAUAUUAUACUAUUUUAUUAGUGCUUUAGGCUCUGUAUGAUAUUGAGGUAUUGUAAUUUUUAAGUUACUACUGUUGUAAAAAGAAAACUGUAAUUGCGAAUUAGAAGUUCAUAAUACUUAGUAAAUAUAAUUUUUAAAUAAUAAUUUCAACAAAAUUAGUAAAUAUAUAAUAGAUUUUUCAUCAUAUAAAUGUAAAAUUAAAUCAGUUUAGCUUUUAAGUCAUAACAGUUAAUGUUUACCAAACACUUUAAUACUAUAACUUUUAAAGUAUAAUUGUCAAACUUUAAUCCUAAACGGAGCCUUAAUAGCUUAACUCUUUGUUUUGGUUAAAAAUAACAUUGGACAUCAAAAUAAAAACUCAUAGUAACUCUUGUUUUGGUCAUAAAUCCAACCGUAUUAACCAAGCAAGCAAUAUGCUUUCCAAGCUGCAAAAUGCGAGCAGCAGUGUUGCACAAAUAAAAUAACAAAGUAAACAACGCGGUUGCUUCCAUUUUUCUUGUCCUUUUUUUCCGUCUUUCCUAUUCCUUUGGGAUGAGUCCGCAAUCUUUCUUUCGCGAUUCCUACGUAAUUUCAUUUGAUCGUCACCUUUUAUAUGUCGGUGUUCGAUUUUUUAUUAACUAAUCUAGCUAGAUCUCUUUUGCCACCAACAGUUUUUUUUAGUUUGUUGUAAUUUUAUAUUUGAAUGCUGCCGCUAUUGGAUUAUUUUUCAGCUUUAGACAUCUCAUCUUGGAGGACAGCUAGCUCAUCAGCUGCUUCAAAUUUGCGGCAUAACUGGCCCAUGGAAACAGGAAAGAAGCACUCUAAAGGCGUUAAUGUAUAUCAUUUAUUAUUACUCAUCUCAUCACUGUUAUCAAACACAACCUUCCACAAACAAUCAGUGCCGGUGCCAGAAAUUAUUUUUAGCGGGGGUUAAGUUCAAUUAGUAAUUUAAUUCAACAAAGUAGUUAACAAAUAACAUAUAUCAAAAUAAAAAUUCUUUAAAGUAUUCAAUUUACUACACUUAUAACUGUCCUCGACGAGAUUUCAUAUGUUGAAAACGUUGAACAACAACCUCAUUUAUUAAGAGUACAAAAUAUAUCUUUUUGUAUGUAUACAACAAGACUAUCAUUUAACCAUUGAUGUCUCAUCUGAUUUCGCAGAUAAUUUUUCACAAAAUUCAUAGCCGAAGAUGCUCUUUCUACUGUAGCUGUGGCAACUAGUAAAAUUAAUACUAAUAUCACCAAUAAAUAAACUAAUGAAUAUAAUUGAUCCUUCUUAAUCUCAACAAAUUUUCUUGCUAGCUCACCAAUCCCUUUCAAUCCUGCUGAAAAACUAUUGUCAGAACCCACAUCCAUAAUAUAAACAUCAAGUUGAGUUUCAAGUGCCACAAGAUCCACUAGAGAAAUUUGGAUAAAACUCAGCAAAUGUGAAGCAGUUUUUGUUUAUCAAAAUGAGUCAUUGGGCCAUAGACAUGCCACACAAAGAAGCAAUUCAAUAUUUGUCUCAUUGAAACGAUUGCUUAAUUCUUGAAGUUGCAUGUCCAAAAUUGCAUUCAACACGAAAACGAUGCAAAUUUGUGAUCUUUUGAGUCUUGUGUUGUGAUCUCCCUUGAGUUCGAAACAAUGGCUUUCUUGAGUAAUAUUUCUCCAUAACUAUGACAAAUAAACACAAUUAAUUGUGAGAAUUUAAAGAAAAAUUGAAGACAAUUUCCAUGUCAAAAUUUAAAAAGAAUGAAAAAAUUACAAAAUAUUAAUUUAAUAAACCAACUGCCUAACUAAAUUCUCAACCACUAAGUUACUAACCCAUCACGACAUCACCCGUGGCAUUGUUAUUCUAUUGUUUACAAUCAGUAAAGUUAAAAGCAAUGGCACUUUAUCAACCUAUGAAGCAUUGCCACAAUAACUGAAAGCUAAUAAUAUUAUUCAAUUCAAAAAGUUAUAAACCAAUUCAGGAAUUAGAAUAUUAAAUCAUAAAGUGGCAGCGGUAUCAAAAUAAUUUAAUCAAUUCAACAUGAAAGCUACAGAGGUGCGAUGGUAGUACCAGAAAAAAAUGCAAAGAUACGGUGGUGCGGACUGGUGGUUACAUAUUUUAUUUUGAGGUCUUUUUUUUUUGGGAUUUCUAGGCUCUAUAUUAAACAUUGGUCUUUUAGCUAUUUUAAAAAUUUACCAGGGACUUUAUUGUAAGUCCACUAAAAAAGAAAAUGAAUUUAAUUUUUUUCUCAAGUGGAGCCGCCACUGCAUACAAUUGAAAAUCCUGGGAUGCAGAGCUGAACAAGCCUACGAAUGCAAUUCUAGAAGCCUAAGUCCCUUCUGCCAGAUUGCGAAUCAGCAUCCAUAUUUUAUCCCAUCAGUCAUUAUCUUCAAUUCCUUAGCCUUUUUAAUAUCCGUCGCAUUGAUGAUGAUUCUUUUCAGCGAGCUCCCGCUCCGGCCACUAUCCCUAGUUUCUGCAUUCUCAAUGGCCGCCGCUUGCAUUCUCAAUGGCCGCCGCUUACAUUUGCACAAUGUCGGACCCAUUGAAGCCUCUCUUGUCAAGCUCAUCUCUUGUCAAUCCUUGGUGUUUGACGUUUUAGUAUUUCUAGUAGAUAUAUAAAUCCCCAUUUAAUUUUGUGAUGUUAUCUUUAUCUUUUAUCUUUAACCUCACAUUGUUGAGUGUAACCUCACAUUGUUGAGUGUUAUUUAAAAAAUAAAAAUCAUGAUGUUCAAUCAUUUGGAUUAAAAGGAUAUCUAGUCUAUCAUGAAAUGGGAUUCGUUUGACAGAGUGAUUCACAACUACCAUAUCAAACUUAGACCCAUGUAUUCCUGUCUUUAUGUCGAGUAAGCUGAAUUUUAUCUUACAAUAUUUCUGCUUACACUACCUCACUACGGCAAUUAUCAUAUAAAAAUUUACAGACGCGAAUGUCUGCAUGUUCUAAUAAGAGAAUUCGGUACAAUAUUAUAGGAAAAAAAUUAUUAUGUUGUAAACUGAUGAAUCAUUUUACAACAUUAUAAAAAUCUUUUACAGCAUUGUAAAAUCAUAAAUUUAUAUUUUAAAAAAUAUGAACAUUUUCGCUAAAGAAAGACUCUGUUAUCAUAUAUCAAUAAAAGUUCAUCUACAACUAUUUUUGAAAAAGUAAAUAAAGAUCGAUGAAGUGUGAGAAAUUAUUUUGUAACAGUCCCAAUUUUAUAAUGAAAAUUCUCGUUUUUAGCUUAGUGAAGAAUUAUGGCGAACAUGACUCUACUUGUAUUUUGUUUGGACUGAUAACUAACACAUGAAUAAUAUAGCUGGGUUUAUUCACGCUGAAAUUUGGUUUGUUUCUGCAUAAUCAAAUAAAUCAUACAUAGCUUUCCCAAAUUUGACAAUGCUACCGUCCAACCUGAAAGCAUGGCGUUUUUCAGUUUGAGUUUUAUAGAAACAAAUGUUGUUCCUCGUUUUUUUUAUUCGUUCUUGCAUUACGUGGUUUGAGAAAUGGGUAUUUGUUGCGUAGCCAAGAAGACGAGAAGUGAGUUUAGUGCUAUAGAAAAACUAUAAAAGAUGGAUUCGUUGAGGAUUACGUGAACCUCACCACCUUGACAAGCAUGCAGUCGUGCAACUUUGACAUUUUCUUAUGCAUAAUCGAAUGGCUCCCACGUCCAUAGACCUUUGUUGAUAUUAUAUUAUCUAACUUUUCUGACAUAAUUUUUUAGUGUGUUUGUUUAACUAAUACGUUAAUAUCUUAUUAAUAAAAUGGUUUUUAAAAAAUAUAAAAUUACUAUAAUUGCAUACUUUAUAAUAAUCAAAUAAGUUUUUUUUUUUUUUUUUUUUUUUGUGCAUAGGGGCUCCUCAAAGAGAGUUAAGAUAAAAUAAAACUGGGAUAAGUCACCCCAUACAAAUAAUGAAGGAGAAUGUGAUUGAUAAGCUUUUAAAUGAUAUAAAAUCUAUAUUUAUAUUUCUGAUAAUAUAUUAUACUAUUUUAUUAGUGCUUUAAUAGUUUAACUCCUUGUUGUGGUUGAAAAAAACAUGUCCAAACAGAUUGGACAUCAAAUUAAAAACCCAUAUUAACUUAUUUUUUUACAUAAAUCCAACAGUACUAACCAAGCAAUCCUUCCAAAGCUGCAAAAUGCCAGCGUCUGCUGCGCAAAUAAAAUAACAAAGUAAUUAAGUAAACAACGUGGCGGCCCCACCAACACCAAACCCCUCCCCCCAAAAAAAAAAAAUUCCUUUAUUAUAAGUUCGCAAUCUUUUCUUCGCGACUCCGAUGUAAUACUCUAUUUAAACCCUUCAAUAUGCUUACUUGUUGACAGGGUUAGUUUUCAUUUGAUCUUCACCUUUUAAAUCUUUGUGUUCGUUUUAAUAAAUAAUAACUAAUCAAGCUAGAUCUCUCUUGCCACCAACAGUUUUUUUUUUAUAAAUUUUUAGUUUGUUGUAAUUUUAUGUUUUAGUUGUUCAGCUAUUAUAUUAUUUUUCAGGCGCAAACUCCAUCGCGAAGAUUAAAACUAUGGGCAUUAGUGAUUUUACAGCUUUAGACAUUUCAUCUUGCAAAACAGCUUGCUCAUCAGCUGCCUCAAAUUUGCGGAAUAACUGCCCCAUAAAAACAGGAAAGAAGUACCCUAAAGGCAGUAGUAGUGUAUAUCAUCUAUUAUUGCUCAUCUCAGCACUGUUAUCAACCACAACCUUCCACAUACAAUUGAAGAUCCUGGGAUGCAGAGCUGAAGACGCCUACGAAUACAAUUCUAGCAGCCUAAGUCCCUUCUGCCAGAUUGCGAAUCAACAUCCAUAUUUUAUCCAAUCAGUCGUUAUCACUUACGAAGGCCUUCGGAAAUUACACGGUAAGUAUGAGAAAGGAAAAGGGCAUUCUUGCGUGUGGGCCCUUCAAUAUAACUUCCAAGAUGCUUCCAAAAUUCAAUGGGAUGUUUAUGCAAUAACUUGAGAAUUUCCUCCUGCAUUCCUGCUUUUCACCGAACACUGGGUCUUAGAAUUUUGGAUUGGAAUUUGGAAAUUACACGUACACACGGUCACGGUGUGUCGAAGAAAAUGAUAAACCCAUAAAGGCAUUUUUGUUAGACUGCCUGGCCCCGAGUGCACUAAAGAAAAUUUUACUAGGAUAAAUUACAAAAAUUCAAUAAAAUUAUAUUUGGUGUUGUCUUAUUAAACAAUGAAAAACUUAUUGGACGGGUAUAUUAGCCACCAUCGACAUUUAUUGGUAAAAACUUAUACUUUCACAACAACUGAGUAAAAACAUAAAAAAUCACUUAAAAUAAACACAUGAACUCUUGAGUUGACCAACAACACUACCCUCAAUGACUUGAGUAACGAGCGAUUCUUGAUGGAUGUAGGUCAACGCAUCAGUCUUACAAAAAUAUAUACAGUAACAAAAUAUUCAAUUAAUAAAUUUUUUCAACAAAUUGUAAAUCAUAUAUAAUGAUGAUAGUUAGAUAUAUUUGUGUUGAUCGAUCCACCGAUGGAGAUUCUAACUAUACUAAAUUUAUUUUGAUAGUGAGGAUGUCUGUAUUUUUUAAAACGUUGAUUCAUGAUUUUACAACAUUGUAAGAUAAUUUAGUAGUUUAAAAUGUUGUAAAACUUUAAAUUUGUACUUGAAAAUGAUUAUAUGAUAACUGACAAAUGGGAUAGUAUAAGCGAAAAUAUUGUAAGAUAAACCUCACUCACUCGACACAAAGAUGCAAAUACAUAGUUCUAAGUUUCAUGUGGUGUUUGUGAAUCACUCUAUCAAAUGAAUCCAACUUCAUGAUGGAUGAAAUAUCGUUCUAACCUAAAUGUUGAUGGACUAGAUAUUGUUCUACUCUAAAUAACUCAACAUCAUGGGAAUUUUAAAUAACACUUAACAAUGUGAGGUUAAGGAUAAGGAUAACGAACCCAUCGAGGGAACAAAAUAUAGAGAAUUUAUUCAAUAACUAAAUUAUAUAAUAUAGCUUUGCCAUAUUAUAGAGAAUUUAUCAAAUGAAUCCUACAUAGCUUUGCCAUAUUUGACAAUGCUACAGUCCCGAAUGUAAUCAGAAAGUACGGUGUUUUCAUGUUAGAUUUUUAAAGAAACAAAUUUUCACUCUAGUUUUUUGUCCAUUUUUGGAUUAUAUAGUUUGAGAAAUGGCUAUUUGUUGCGGAGCAUAUAUCGAUCAAGAAGAUGAGAAUUGAGUUUAGUGCUAUAAAAUUUAAUCGAAAAUGUUGUUUGGUUACUAAGAAAUAGAGAGAAAUCUGAUGAAUAUUCUAGAUUCAAUUCAUUAGUUACAAAUGAGUUAAACUACAGACUUUUAUAUAGUUACACACUUAUUAGUAAAAGCUAUAUAACUAAUCUAUAUUACUCUGAGAUUUUAACUAACUAAUCAGUAAGAGAUUAGCUAAUGCUAACUAACUGUAACACACGUGAACUCUCAUUGUUUCUUAACAGAAUCAGCUGACUCAGCAUUGUUGACGUGGCAUUGCUGAUGCACCUUAGCUUCUGACUUUCUCUCUUUUCUCAGUUCAGCACAAUGAGCUUUCUUCACAGCCUCUCUCAAACUCAAGGGGCAUAAAUGCACAUUGAAUUUGUUUCUCAAAUAGAUGAACUGAGUAGAGUUUAAGGGCUUGGUCAUUAUGUCUGCUAUCUGCUCUGCACUAGGAACAUAGAGAAUCUUAAGAUCUCCAGCUAGAACCUUAUCUCGAAUAAAAUGCGGAUCGAUUUCUAUGUGUUUUGUACUUGAGUGAAACACUGGAUUAUAAGCAAGUUCUUUGGCACUCACAUUGUCACACCAUAUAACUGGUUUCUCCACACAACAUAAAUCAAUCUCAAGAAAUAAGGAUUUUAACCAUGUUAUCUCUGAAACAGCUGCUGCAAGUGCUCUGUAUUCACUCUCUGCAGAAGAUUUUGUAACUACAGAUUGCUUCUUUGAGGACCAUGAGAUUAAAUUGUUUUCUAGAUACACACAAUAGGCACCAGUGGAUCUUAUGUCAUCAAGAUCACUUCCCCAGUCUGCAUCUGUAAAUGCUGCAACCUUCAGCUCACCUUCCUUAACAAAUUUCAGCCCAUAGUCUUGUGUUUCCUUAAGAUAUCUAAGCACACGUUUGCAAGCCAUAAGAUGUUGAAGUGUUGGUGAAGCUACAUAUUGACUUAGCUUAUGAACAGAGUAGGCAAUCUCAGGUCUUGUCAAAACCAAAUACUGAAGGCCUCCUACUAUGCUUCUGUAAUGGGAUGGAUCUUCUAUGUAGUAACCCAUUUCUCCUUUAACAUUCUUCUGCAAUCUGUAAUCUUUGCUAAUGCUCAUUGGUGUGUUUAUUUCUUUGCACUCGAGCAUAUCAACUUUAGCCAGCAAAUUUCUAAUAUACUUCCUUUGUGACAGAUAUACACUAUCAAAAUCAUACAAAACUUCUAUUCCAAGGAAGUAAGAUAGCUUUCCUAGAUCCUUUAAUGCAAAUGCAGAACUAAAUAGCUUGAUAAAAUCUUCCAGCUCAUCACCAUUUGAUCAUGUAAUCAAUAUAUCAUCUACAUAUAUCAUGAUUAAAAUAAUUGAUCUUUUAUUCUUCUUCAAGAACAAAGAUGAAUCAGACUUAUAGUUCUCAAAUCCCCAUUGCAUAAGACUAUUUCUCAGCUUGUCAAACCAUGCUCGUGGAGCUUGUUUCAAACCAUAGAGUGCCUUGUGAAGUUUGCACACAAAAUUAGGUCUUUUGGAAUCAAUAAACCCUUCUGGUUGACUCAUAUAUACCUCCUCAAUUAGAUCUCCAUUUAGGAAUGCAUUAUUCACAUCAACUUGUCUUAUCUGCCACUGAUUCAUUACUGCUAAGCUUAGGACCACUCUAACUGUUGCUGCUUUCACCACUGGACUGAAAGUCUCAAAGUAGUUAACUCCUUCUAUCUGCUGAAAUCCUUUAGCAACCAACCUUGCCUUAUAUUUUGCAACACUUCCAUCAGUGUUUGAUUUUACUCGAAACACCCAUUUGUUACCAACAAGUUUGUGAUGUUCUGUUCUUGGUACAAGUGUCCAGGUACCAUUUGACAUCAGUGCAUCAUAUUCAGCCUUCAUUGGUUGAAACCAUCUCUCAACAUUAAUAGCCUCCUGAAUAGUAUCUGGUUCUUUAUGCAACAAUACUACAGUAUAUACCUUUGGUUUAAAGAUAUCUGCUUUCCCUCUAGUGAUCAUAGGAUGUUGGUUUAAUGAUGGUGAGGUUAUCACUGUCUGAUGGAGAUGAGAGGUAUUAUUAUUGUGUUGGUUUUGUGAAUUUUCAUCUGAGGACUGAUAUAAUAUUGUAUCUGGUACAGAAGGUAACAUUGUAGGUGUAGAUGGAUUAUUUCUAUUUGUGUUUGAGGGUUGCUAAUAUGUUACCUGUGUUGAGACUACUGCUGGAGGGAAAAUGUUGCCAUUGGAGUAUGCUUGAGAGAAAGAUUCAUUGCUGGUGACUGCAAAAUCUGAUAUGACAAGUAAUGUUGAUAACUAAAAAACUUGUGUGGGAGUAAUUGUGCAAUAUGUAUCAGACUUAAAUUUAUUUGAAGGAUGAAAGCUAGGAUCUGAAGUAAAUGGAUAUGAGUAUUCAUAAAAAACAACAUGCCUAGCUAUAUAUAUAUGACCAGAGGGAUGAAAACACUUAUAGCCUUUAUGAGAUGGGCUGUAACCAAGAAAGAUGCACUUGGUUGUGUGAUAGUCAAACUUAUGCUUAUUGUAAUCUCUCAGAUAUGGAUAACAAGCACAUCCAAAGCAUUUCAGCAUGUUAUAAUCAACCUUGUGUUUAUAAAGCUUUUCAUAUGGAGUAGACAUCUUAAGUGCAGAAGUAGGGAGUCUAUUAAUGUGAUAAACUGAGGCAUGAAAAGCAUCCCACCAUAAUUAAAAAGGGAGUUUGGCUUGAGCUAGAAGUGUCAAUCAUAAUUCUACAAUCUGUCUGUGUUUCCUUUCAACAAGGUCAUUUUGAUGGUGAGUGUAAGGGCAAGAAUGUCUAAAGAGAAUGCCACAUUCAUUUAGGAAGGCAGUAAAUGGCCCGUAUUCUCCCCCCCAGUCAGAUUGAAGAAUUUUGAUAGUUGUUUGAAAUUGAUUUUCAAUUUGAAGUUUAAACAGUUUGAACACUUCUAGAGCUUCUGAUUUAAGUUUCAAAGGAUAAAUCCAGGUGUAUCUUGUAUAAUCAUCCACAAAGCUAAUGUAGUAUCUAAAACCAUCUCUAGAACAUGCUGGUGAGGGACCCCAUAAAUCAGUAUGAACAAGUUCUAGUGCUGAUGUGGUUUUUAUAUCAGUAAUUGGAAAGUGAAGUCUGUGAAAUUUUCCCAGCUGACAUGCUUCACAGAAAUGCUUUGUUACUUGAUUAACAAUAUUUGUAUAGCAUAAAUUGGGAUGCACAAGCUUAAGUAAAUGAAUUAGACUUUGAGUAUUAGGAUGACCAAAUCUUUUGUGGAGCAAAGACAUUUUAUUAAAUGAAUCAGUGCUACAAGUGUUCUUAUUUGACUGAGAAUAUUUUCCAGAACAAGGACUAUUAACUGAAGUGCUGAAAUGACACUGAGAUAGCAUAGAUACAUGUUUAUUUAUUGAACUCUGGGAUAGAAAAGAUGUAUAUGUAGAUUGUGGUGAUGAACUCAGCUGCAAUUUGUAUAAACCUUUCUCAGCAAUACCCAGUAGCAGAAUUUUCCCCUUCAAUAUAUCCUUCAUAAAGCAAACAGAACCAAGGAAUUCAACAGAUAAGUCAUUAUCAGUGGUCAGUUUAGAAACAUUCAGCUGCUGUGUGUCCAGUUUUAAAGCAUAUUUGACAAACGACAACUUGUUCAUCAUUACCAUCAGAAUUUGACAAACCAUAGUUAACAUUAUAUUGUCCUCUCAUGAAUUGUGCCUGCUUAUUAUUGUUUCCAAUCAUUUGACCUCUACCAAGAUUAUUACCAAAAUUUCCAGAUCCAGAAGGAAAUCCUCUUGGAUGAGAAUUGAUAAACAUUCCCCUUCCAGUAUGAAAAUUGUUCCUUCCAAAUUGAUUUCCACCAUGAAAUUCUCCAUUAUAUCCACAUAUUCGAGGAUUACCUCUUGUUUGAGCAUAAUAAGCAUUCAUCAUACCAUAGCUAUUGUUAUUAUGAGAAACAUUAGCAAGAUUUGCAUUGAGCAUCUGUUUUUCAUUUAGACUCUGUUCUAACCUUGUUUCAUGUGUCAAUAGCAAUGCAUAGGAAUCAUCAAAAUCCAGUUUACUAGUAGUAAUGAAAGUUGCUAGAUCUAGAUAGCCUGGUCCAAGACCAUUAAGAAUUUGUUGUAACAGAUCUUUAUCAGAAACUGGACUACCAGCACAGGCUAAUUUAUCUGCUAUUUGUUUCAUUUUCAAACAAUAAUCUUCUAUAUUUAGUGAAUCUUUUCUCAAAACACUCAUCUCAUAUUUGAGUUGAAGAACUCUAGCUUCUAAUUUUGCACCAAACUUUUUCUCCAAAGUUUUCCACACAUCAUAUGCAGUAUUACAAGAAUGAACAUGACUGAGAAUACCUUCAGUGAUUGAGCCUAAUAGCCAGCUUAGUAAUGUCUGAUCCUGUGACCUCCAGAUCGUGUAUUCUGGAUUUUCAACUUGUUGUGUAACUCUUCCCAUUGUUUCAGUAUAGCUUCCAGAAGUAAGAAACUGAUUAGGUGCUGCUUUUUCUCCAUUAAUAUAGCCUUCGAGUCUGUUUCCUCUUAUGGAAGCUAAUACUUGAUUUCGCCAGAGCAUAUAAUUGGAUCUAUCAAAUUUGAUUGGUGUAAUGAAUGAGAAGGUAGUUUGUAUUGAUUGGUUCAUGUUCAUUGCGUUUGGAUUUGUGUUUAAAUUGCUUGAGCUUGCCAUAUUUCUGGCUCUGAUACCAUGUAAAAUUGAAUCGAAAAUGCUGUUUGGUUACUAAGAAACAGAGAAAAAUCUGAUGAAUAUUCUAGAUUCAAUUCAUUAGUUACAAAUGAGUAAAACUACAGACUUUUAUAUAGUUACACACUUAUUAGUAAAAGCUAUAUAACUAAUCUAUAUUACUCUGAGAUUUUAACUAACUAAUCAGUAAGAGAUUAGCUAAUGCUAACUAAUUGUAACACACAUGAACUCUCAUUGUUUCUUAACAGAAUCAGCUGACUCAGUAUUGUUGACGUGGCAUUGCUGAUGCACCUUAGCUUCUGACUUUCUCUCUUUUCUCAGUUCAGCACAAUGAGCUUUCUUCACAAGUGCUAAAUAGAAAAUAUAAAAGAUAGGCCUUGUGGAGGAUCUGAGCAAGAGACAUCUCUGGGCCCCACCACAUAGCUCGGUUUAAGAUCUUAACACGCGUGCAGUCGUACACUAGCCAUCUGGUCAUUUUUUUUUUUAGGAGCAUCUAGUUGUUACUCUAUAAAAAAUAUCAUUAACUUGUGUAACUUUCUCUAAAGUUUCCCAAAUAACUUUAGUUCACCGGACUACCAGCGCAUUUCCUUCUGCAUUGUCGCGUCUUCACCUUACUUACGCCAACUUUUGGAAUGAUUGGAAAUUACAUGGUAAGUGUAAGGGUAUGAAAUCUUAAUUUGACUUAGGUGGCGUUUGUUUUUUUGUCUAAAAUCUAAAUAGACCUGAAUAGAUCUGAAUGUCUGAAUUUGAAUAAUAUGUUUGUUUUUUCGUCUGAAUCUCAAAAAAUAAGUAUUAAGUUGUUUGUUUUUUUCAACUGAAAAAGUUAAAAAUAUAUACUUUUACAUUUGUAUCCUUAUUAAAUUUGAAUGUCAAAUAAAUAAUAUAUUAAAUACCACAAUAUUUUAACAUUUAUAAGUAAAACUAUAUUCAAGUGAAUACAUAAUUAUUGUAGAAUUUUAAUAUAUAAAAUACCAUAAAUUUCAAAUUUUAUCAUAUAUAAUAUAAGAAAGAAAAAACAAAGAUAUUUUUAUGUGGGGUAAAUGUCUAUGAGUGAGUUUUGGGAUAGACAUGAAAAAUAAAUUAUAAAACAUGGAUAUUUUUUACAUUAGUAAGUAAUUGACUUAAUUCAAAUUUCUCCAUUAAGUAAAAAGCUAAAAAAAUUGGCUUAUUUUAUUAAGUUAAAAUUAUAUAAAAAGUCUCAUUAAGUUAUAAAAACAAACACAUCUAAUUAACUUAAUUAAUUAAAUUAAGUCACUUUAAGUUAUUAAGUUAAAAAACAAACGCCACCUUAAUUUAAAAGAUGUUUUGAUAUAUUGAUUUCUUUGUUUUUUAUAACUAAUGUUUAG
rnacentral:lncRNA from 1 species